GGGACAGUCUUCUCGUUAAUUGGACGUAAGCUUCCGGAAUUAUUGAUCUUAUAAGGAGGGUUGUCAAGGGUAGAAAAUGGGGUUGGAGGAGAAGAAAUGAAGUUAGAUAACUCGUUCAUGUCAAGCCAGAGCCCAUCAACGGGGAGAAGGUCAUGGAAAAUUUUGAUUUCAUUACUCCAGAAGACUCUGCCUCGGGGAUUUAUGAAAUCAGGAAAGUAGACUUUUCCAGGCCAAACUUCUCCAAGAUAAGGAACACCAUCGCGUUUGAUGAAAACAUCAGCUUGCAUCCCUCUCUUGUAUGUCUCAUAUGAGCUAUUUAUGCUGAUCCCUGUGAACAAGUCAUUGAGAUCAUAAACGAAACAGGAGUAGUGCUUUGAUUAAGUCAUUCAACCCAAUAGCUUUGCAAUUUCUAAACCUCUACAUCACCUUAAAGUAUAAAUAUCAACAAAAAAGGGGUAGUUCGGUGCACAAAGAAUCCCACGUUCACACAAGUUCCGGUUAAGGCUACACCCCAAAGGAGUGUGAUGUAGGUAGUCUACCUGACGCUAAUGAAGCAAGAAGUUGAACAUGUCAGAACUUACCUGGAUCCAAUAUGAGAACAAAUCUCUGGCCAUUGUGGUGAAGUGUAUCAACAAGUUUCUUCAUCUGGUCAAGUGGGAAGUUAACAGGAUCAAGUGUGAAAUCCUUAUAACCAUCCAUAUAAUCAAUAUCUGUCCACAUGACCUCAAGAGGGAUCUGAGCUUUUGCAUAGCCAGCAACCACAUUCCGAACUUCAGUAAUAUCUUUAUAACCAUAUCGGCAUUGAUGAAACCCUGUUGCCAACAAUCCGCCAUAGAUUACAUGAAAACAAUAUGUCAAUCUAUCUGUCUCAAACCAUAGAUGUAUAAAUUGUAGAAAGAAAACACAAUCCUCAUAUUCACAACUAGUAAAAGCUCUAUCCACCCUAUUAUGAGUACUGAAAGAGGUGGGGUCAUAUAACGUUAUAUAACCGGGCUCUGCACUAACGAAUGCUUGAGACAACAAGAAACUGUGCAUAUUUUUUAAGUAUCAAACAAAAUUUAAAUGUUAGGGCCAUAUGAAGUUAGUAAACAGAAUAAACACUACGAACCAAUAGGUAAUUCGCUAGCAUAAUUACAUACCAAAAGACCAGUAUGGCAUGGGCGCGGGGCGGCCAAUGAGCUCUGUGUACUGCUCCAUGACCAACUCUGGCGCAGGACCAGCAAAGAAGUACAAGUCAAUGACCCCUCCAAUCACCUUGUAGGUAAUUCUGUCACCAGUAUACACAAUGUCCAUACCAUUGCUAUUGAAGAGCAAGACUCCGUGACUGGUCCCGACCCCAGGAUGAGACCUGACAUCCAUGUAAAAAGGGUGGGAACCAUACAAGUUGACGUCAACAUUGACACUACCAAUAUCAGCAUUCCAAAGAGUUAAUGUCUGGUUAUGCUCGAGCUUAAAUGUUCUCUUGGUAUGCUCCCCGAGGCCAUAGAUAGAUGACCGAUUAGCUGGCAAUGAAGAGGACAAUUGAAGGUACUGAUCCUUGAAGAUGAGGAACGUGUCCGGAAAGUCAUUUUUAGGUGAGGUGUCAAAAAGAACGUCACCUGAGGAACGACGCGUGAUAGUAAAUCCAAAAGGGGUGGUGUUGUAGAGAGUGAAACUAAGGUCAGAAAUGGUGCUCGUGUGGAAGUAAUGGGUGUCUUCAGAUGAUGGAAGUGAGGUAGAAGAGCGCUUUUCUAGCAGGGAGCUUCGGGGGGAUGAAUGUGUUUCACGGGGGAUAAAUUCUUGAGGAACUUCCCAUCUUUCAUGAUCUGCAUCCGUAAUUCUGACUCUUAAACGAUCUUUUGUCUCAAAGCUGCAGAAACCAUCAGCAUGUAAAACAAGAAAAGGCUGAUCAGUUUGUUUAUAAAGAACACUCUAAUCAAAUUUAAAAGAUCUUUUGACACAAAAAAGACGAGUCUGUCUGCGGAGAAUGGUGUGUAGGCAGUCAUACCCCUCCUACAUUGUGAAGGUAGAGAGGUUGUUCCCCAUAAGUAAAGCACAUCACAAUCAAGUAUUGAAAGGUAAUAAAACAAGAAAUAAGAUAGCAGACAAGUAAGAAAAACAAUAGUGAUAUGCGACACUAGACAAUGCUGAUUACCUACUAACCUUCUAUCUAGAAAAGUCAUCUUGUUUUCAUUUCGUUAUAGAAAUGUUCACAAAAUCAGCUAGGAAAAUUUUUGGUAUGAAAUGGCAAGUGACUUUUCUGUGACAAAAUAAAGAAAGAUAACUUUACAUCAUCUCCAAUAUGAGCAAUGAACUCCUAAAAGUACUGAUAUUUUAUUAAUUUUUUAAAAAGCAAGCUCAGAAAUAAAAAGGCUGGAGUCUGACAGACACCCAUACUUGUCUCGCUAUGACAAACACCCACUUUACUUCACAGGGCUUCAUCUAAACACUUGAAUGUGUUCAAAAUUAGUAUCCCAGUUUCUCGACUUUCACACAUGAACUAUUAGAUGUGCGAGUUUCCUACCUAAACUAUCAAGUGAUACUUCAUUUAUGAAACUCAACAACAACAACAACAACAAACCCAGUAUAUUCCCACUUAGUGGGGUCUGGGGAGGGUAGAGUAUACGCAGUCCAUACCACUACCCCUAACGAGGUAGAGAGGUUGUUUCCGAUAGACCCCCGGCUCAAGAUACUUCAUAUAUGAAACUCAAAAAACUAAAAUAUCUGUGUUUUUGACCCUUAUUUCUUUUUCUUCACAAAACUUGAAUUUUUCUUUUUUUGUGUGAAAUGCAUAUUCAAACAGAACUUCAAAGACUCAAGAUUUUAAAAAAAUGCAAGCUCAGAAAAAAAGGCUGAAUAGUCCAGCAGACACUCCUACUUGUCCCGCAUUGACAAGCGGCCCCUUUUACUUCACAGGGCUACAUCUAAACACCCAAACCUGUUCAAUAUUAGCAUACUUCAUAAAACUUCAACAUUUUUGUAGUCCAAACACAUCUUUUUGAAGUCCAAACACAUCUGCAACUUCAAAAUACUACUCCCUCCAUUUCCAUUUGUUUAUCUUUCUUUCCUUUUUGGUCCGUUGGAAAAGAAUCUCUCUUUCCUUUUUUAGCACCACUUUAGUUGCAACUUUCCACCUAAUAUGUUAAAGACCACAACAUUAAAGAACAUUUUGAUACAUUCGACCUAUCUUUAGUUAAAGACAACAAGAUUCAAAAGUAUUCUUUAUUUGCAUAAACUCCACACAAAGUCAAAACUCGACAAACAUUAAAACACAGAGUAUAUCUCUUCAUGUGUUUUAGUGUUGUUGGUGAUUUUGGAUAGAUAGUUUAUAGUAUUAAUCUAUGGAUGUCUUAUUUUUUGUAGCAUUCUGUUGUGUGUUUUUAUGUUUUUGAUUUGUUAUACUGGUGUUUGUCUAGAGCUAGGGGUCGAUCGGAAACAUCUCUCUACUUCAUCUGAGGUAGUGGUAUGGACUGCGUACACUUUACCCUCCCUAGACCCCACUUUGUGGAAAUACACUCACUGGCUAUGCUGUUGUUGUCGGCGUUGUGGAGCAUAUUACUUCACAAAACUACAGUACCUUUUUCCAAAUUACGUUCAAAUAUUACCUCUUUUUUCAAAUAUCACUCAAUUCAUGUCCAAACGACUACUUAGAAUUAACGAAAUUUCAAUAAAUAUGUAAUAUAAAAAGUAUUCAAGAUCAUUACCAAGCAGUAAGGCUAAGAUUUUGAAUGUCAGGUCCAUAAACAGAAGAACCUUUGAUAAGCUGAAGACUAGCAGUCAGUGUCCUUCCAGAUGAGUCAACACCUACUGAUCUAACAAUAUAACCAUAUCCAAUUGGUUCAGAAUUUGUUGUAAGUGCUAAUAAUUGAACCAAUAAAGUGAAAGACAAGAGAAAAUUGGAUAGAACAAUAAAUGUACAAGAUUUUAUAGAUUUAUCAGUACUGUGUAUGUUCAUUGUGAUGAGGAAAAUAUAAUAAUAUCUUAACUUUGUUGUAUGAUAUUAUAUGGGAAAUGGAAGAUAGUGUAUGGUCCUUCAUUCAGUGGUCCCACACUCAACUAUAUGUUAUAUUCCAUGAAUUUAGUCGAGGCGCAUGAAAGCUGAACUAGACAACAGCGUUAUAAAAAAAAAAAAUGACUGCUAACUAAACUUUAGCUAGUCAAAAUUUUGAAGUUUAGUGGUUUUUCAAUGCAGAAUUAAAUUUCAUAUUAUGUGGGAAAUGGAAAAUAUUGUAUGGUCCUUAAUUCAAUGGUCCCACACUCAACUAUCUGUUGUUGGUGGUGGUGGUUGAAAGAUGAUAAGUAUUUCGUGAAUUUAGUCGAUGGGCGAAAAUUGAAUUACACGCCCACGUUAUAAGAAAAUAAUUUUUUUUUACUGCUAAUUAAACUAUAGCUAGUGUGUCCACCAUACAAACUCGAACAAAUAUAAGUAUAAGGAUCCAAUAGAUAAUUUUGAAAAUUGAAAGAUGUCUAAUACCUAAACAACAAACUCACCAACCAAAUUCAAGAAAAAGAAAGGAAAAUGACAUCGUUUCUACUUACCAAACAGUCUAUCGGGGCUUCGUUUUCAGCUUCGGAUCGGUCCAGCACCAUCCCACUUCUCCUGUUCCAACUUUCAAAUCCCAGCUCAGCGACUACAGCACAAACGACUAGGUGAAUCAUUUUGCCCUCCAUCUGUUUGUUGAAAUGUCUGAAUGAACAACUACAAUUUUCGUGAGUUAAUUAUUAUGGUGUCCAAGUCAGCAUGCGUGCACCUAGAUUAAUUUCACGAUACCUGCCCUCCUCUCACAAAAGGAUAGAUAUCUAAGUAACUCUAAGGGGUCGUCUAGUGUGAGGUAUUGGGAUAAAUAGUCUCAGAAUAAAAUAAAGUAUUUGGUUUGAAGUAUUAGCUAUAAUUGGGAUUGUUUAUCCCAUUAUUUACACUAUAGUGAUGAAAUAAGUUAUUCCAUAUAUACAUAGUGGGAUAACUAAUCCCGGAUUAUUUUGGGAUAACUGAUUCUGGGAUUAAUUAUCCUGAGAUAACUCUUUCGCAACCAAACGACCCCUAAAUCUAAUUUCACGCGAUAUCUCUCCGCCUCCCACUAGCAACGGUUAUUAGCUAAGGUUAAUUUCACUUGAUACCUGUCUGCCUUCCACUAACAACAGAUAUCAGUAGUUCUAUUUACUAAGGGGUUAUUUGAUGUGACGUAUAAGGGAUAAAUAGUCCCGAAAUAAAAUGAAGGACUAUUUUAUCCGAUGUUCGGUGUGAGAUAUUUGUUAGUACCAGAAUUGUUUGUUCAUUAUUUACACCAUAGUGAUGAAAUAAGUUAUCUCAUAUACAUGGUGGGACAACUAAUUCUGAGAUAACUAAUCUCAGGAUUAAUUAUCUUCAAAUAAUUCUUCCCAACCAAACGACCUUUAAGGCUACGACAUAUGGAGUCAAGUGAUAUUUGUUGCUCUUGUGAAUUUAGUCGAGGUGCGUAAAAACUGACCAAAACACCAGGAUUAUUAAAAAAAAUAUCAUAUAAUAAAAUUUAGAUAACAAUUAACACAAGAUUAAUAAAGACUUGAAAAAUCUUUUGUCUAUAAGGUAAGCAACAAACUCAUCAACCAAAUUAAAAAAAAAAAAAAAAAAAAAAAAGGUGUAAGAAAAGGAAGGAGGAGGUACAAUUUUCCUUGAUUUAAUAUCUUAUAGGACCUUGAAAAUUAUUCUUUUCCUCCUCUUAACCUCCAAUAGAGUGAAUGGCUCCGUAAUUUUGAUGGAAUGCCACCACUCUUAAACGUCAAUUCCUUAACAACAACAAUCAAAGCAUCAAUAGUUAAUCAAGUUCUCAUAUUUGUCCUUACAUUCUUUGCAUUUACAUGCUAAACAUGAGCUAACAGAUGGAUCAAAAGAGGUGGCAUGUCCAUUGAAGGGGGUGAAUCACCAUAUUCGCCACUAAUAUGACCAUCAUCAUGGCAAACUUUUUUUUCAAAAGAAUCUUCAUGAGCAUCAUCACCAUCUCUGACACCAGCAUCAACAACACCAACACCAACCCCAAAUUUGUUGCAACAUCACCAAAAAAACAACAACAGGCUCAACAAGAACAAGCUGACCUUCCCUAGGUGCUUCUCUUUUUAUGGUUGUUGCUCCAGCCAAUUCUUUUUUAUCAAGUCCGCCUUAGAGUCUGAUUUGGUGUCAACAAUCUCCAGAGUAAGAUAGGCAGACAUCUCCUGCAAAGCCUAUAAACAAAAUUAGAUAUACUAAAAUCAAUCUAUAACUUGCAACAGAUAGGUAACGUGUUGCAACAGAUGACAUCUUAGUCCAGUCACUAUGGCAAAUUCUUUGAUGCCAAAACAAACGGGCAUGUCAUAGUAGUUUAUCCAAAUCUCAUCCAUUUUCUUUUUCUCAUUCUUUAAAAUUUGAUCAUCGUCACCCUUAUACUUGAUCCUGCGCUUGAGAAGACUAUACACCAUAGUCAUUUAAAAGUGUACUUUAUUAUCCUCCGGCAGAUCAAGAAAGUGUCCAAAAUAGCUGGACUUAAAGUAAUCCUUCAAUUUUUCAUCUCUCAAUAUCUUUCGAAAACCAUCAAAAAUUUUACCUAUGACCAAUUUAACAACAAAAUCACAAGUUAAAGCUGUAGGGUUAUUUAUAGGCAUCUCCACUUGAAAAUUGUCAAUACUAAAAGUUUUGACAGGAUUAUAUUGGACUUUCGAUCUACAUUCAUGAUCGAUUGAUGAUGCCUUAACAUCAUCAACAACAUUAAUUCAUUGGUUCUUUCCUCUUCUCUUUUUCAUUUUCCUCUUUAGCAUCUUCCCCACUUUUAACAUCAUCUCCUUCCUCACUUUUCUUUUCAUCUUCUUCCUCCUCGUCUCUUUUCUCACUUUCUUUUUCGUCUUCAUCCUCAUCUUCUUUAUCACUUUCGUCAUCAUCUCCAUCCUCACCAUCUCCAUCUUCUUCCUCAUGUUUAUUUUCAUCUUCCCCUCUACAACAUCUCUAGAUCUUUCAACUCAUUCUCUUUCAAUAUCUUCUUCAUAUCUCUUCCCAUAUCUUCAUUCUCUUUCUGUACAUCUACAGAUGUUAACACUUUGCAUUUGUUUGUGAAAGAGCUUGUUCAACAAGUGCUUCUAAUGAUACUUGUAAUUUAGCUAUUUUACUUGGUUUAUCAUAAGUUGAUCCACUAUCUUUUCUUUUGCGCAUCAUUUUAUCUACAAAUAAGAGAAAAACAAAAAAGAUUACAAUUGACUUGUGCAUCAUUAAAAGAAAGGAUAAUAGUAAAUUUAAUAAAUACAACAUGGUACACUAAUAGUUCAAUAGAUGACCCAUCUGUUGGAAGAAGCAUAACAACAAAUCAACAGAUGAUAUAGUUGUAUCCAACAAAUGACUAAAUAUCGUUUUCUUAAAGAUAAGUAAGAAGAAGAAACUCAAAGUUCCAAUGAUCAACAGAUGCUUAAUAUGUUUUAAUAGAUUCUUAUUCUUGGGAACAUGUUUUAUAGCUGUUGGACAAUAUUUUUAUCAUGCACAUAUAUCAAUAAGAACACCACCAACACCAACAAUAAGCUAUAUCACACCAAGAACACCAAAAACAACACCAAGUUAUAUCACCACUUUAACAACACCAAUAUUUUUACCAUACACUAACAACACAACAAAACCAAGAACACCACCACUAACAACAACAAAACUAAGAACAUGAAAAACAUAUCUAAAACACAAACAAUACCAAUAAAACAAACAACACUCACCUACAACACCAACAAAUACCAAGUGAAGUGAUUCAAUACAACAACACAAACAACAAAAUAAAAUUGUCACAACAGAUUUCUUCGAAAAAAGUCAAAGUUCAAGUUUCACUAUUUUUACAAUAAUGUUCGAGAACAAGUACACCACCAACAAAACUAAGAAUACAAAUAACACCAAUAAAACAAACAAAACCAAGAACACCCACCAACAAAUACCAAGUGAAGCGAUUCAAUACAACACAAAUAACAAGACAAAAUUGACACAACAGAUAUCUUCAAAAAAAGUUAAAUUUCAAAUUUCACGAUUUUUAUAAUUAAUGUUCGAGAACAAGAACAAGAACAACAACAACAACAAAAAAGUCAUAUUUCACUCAAAAAAGAUACGACAUUUACAUCAACCACCAUAUUAAGAGAACAAAUAUCAUAAAUUAGGAUUUUCUUGGGUUCUUUUUUUUUGUUUGUUUGAGCAUCAAAUUUCAAAAUUAUUAAUCCAUACUUGAAGAGAAUACAACUAAGGUUUUCUUUUUCUUCAUUAACUAACAAGCACUAAUUUUAUGAAAACCAACAAAAACAUUAACGGCUACGAGGAAAGAAGAAACGAUGUAGAGGCGAACUUGAGGUCGCUGGAAGUGAAAGUUUGUCAUGAAAAGUUAAAUAAUUGUGGAUUGUUUUGUACUUUUAAAAAGAUUAUAAGUUUUAAAAAAGUUAAUUGAGUCUCUUGUUAACUUAAUCUAAUAGUUAAGUGUCUUUGACCCUUUCAUGAUCAAAAUAGUCACCACUAUUUCAAUGAAGACUUAAGUCACCACUAUUCAGGGUCGUUUAGUAGAGCGUAUACAAUAAGCAAUAUUUACUCAUGCUUAUCCAUGUAUUAAUAGCCCUUAUAUUGCUAAUAUCAUGGUUUACUAUAUAUUACUUAUAUACAAUUUAACUAAUACAUACAUAGAUUGAAAGUCCUAACAAAUAAAGGAUUAAAUUAUACCAUAACUAAUACAUCCCACCAAACGAACCAUUGAUGAAAAUAUUACAGUUUGAAUUACAUGAACAUACAUAGCUAAGCUGACUCUUCAUAGCUUUAUCAGUUCAUCAAGAAAUAACAACAGAUAAAAAUAUGCUUUAUUUUCCAUACUCUACAAUACUAUGAAGAUAAUGAGAUCCUAAGUUGCGUGGAUUGUUCAGUUUCGAUGCUGUCGAUGCUGCACCCGUGUUGGAUUCUCCAAAAAUGCUGACAUGCACUCGUUGACAAUUUUGAGGAAUCCGGCCAACAUAGAUAAGAUCAUCACUGUUCAGUUCAUAAUUAUUUGGCAAUUGUUAGCUCAAUAGUAAAUUCUUUUCCAAUAAGAACUGAUAAACCUGUCAUCUCCGGAACACCAGAUGUAGCUCUAUCAAUUUUUGUUCCAAUUUUAGUGGCCAAAUUAUAUGCACUUAUUUUUCUCACCUCCUUUUUCAGUCCAAGAAAAGUGACUUUCUGUAUUGUCCAAUUCUUACUCAAAGCAAACUCUUCAUUCAUAACCUUUGAUCUGAGAAAUAACUUGUUAUUCAUAAAAUCAGUGUGAAAUUUCACAAGGCUCCAUUUUCCUCCCUCUCCUCCCAUUUCAACGUCUUCACCAUUGUCCAAGAAGACUUCUCCUGAACUAUUUCCCCUGCUGUUGAUGGCAACAAGUAGUUCAAAUGGAGUUUCCCUUGCUGCUCUUGUCGUCAUUGCUUCUCCUUGCAUUGCCACAAUGUUUCCCUCUUGGAGGUGCACAUUGAUAUGAUCAAGAGGCGCGUCUAGGCUGAUGUAGCUACCGGACUUCAUGUUUACGUAGUUUGAAUAGUUGAACAUGUUGAACCAGGUACCGGAUGGAAAAUAUGCAUUAACUGAAACCGCACCAGAUGUCAGUACUGGUGAUAUCAUUAGCCCCUUACCGAUGAGAAACUGAGAGUCGAUGGAGUAAGUGUUUGUGUCCUCGGGGAAUGAGAAGAAAAGAGGCCGCGCUAUAGGGAUGCCUUUGGUAUGUGCCUCGAACAUUAAUGUGUAGAAGUAUGGUAAGAGCCGGUAGCGUAGUCCAAGCACUUUCUUGGCAGUUGCAGCUACUGAAUCCCAGAUAUAAAGUUCUUGAUGGAUACUGAACUUCAUAGUGUGAUCCCUUGCAAAGGGAUAAAAUGCACCUAGCUACAUUCGACGAGAACUUGACUAUCAGAUAUCAGAAAAGUAUCAUACUUCAAAUUUGAAUUUUUCAUUUGAACAAAAAACUGACAUGCUGUUCCAUAGAGCACAAUCUAUGUUUCCCUGAAUAGAACAUAGAACGACAACAGAACAAUAAAAGAGAAGAAAACCAUUGCUAUAGAUAUCUCCACGGGUUUAAGCCAUACAAAUUAACCUUCUUUUCUAAUACACUUGACAAUAGUAUUUUACUCAAAAAUCUGUAAACAACAUUUUUCAGAGCAUUAUCAUUAACUUGAUAACACUGUUAGCAGAAAGAGUACUCCCUGGACCAGUUGGGUACACUCAUAAUUCUAAGGUCAAGGGGUGCCAGAGGCGGAUCUAGUAUUUAUAUUUAACGAGGUAAGGAUUCUGGGUUUUGGACAGUGACCACAAGUUCAUAUGCAAUAAUAACAGACCAUAUAAUGAGCAUCAAUAUUCAAUAUAUUAUCAAGUUUAGCAUAGACAUAUAACAAGACAGGGUAUUUAUAACUAGUCGUGCCUUCUCUGAUUCAACCUCCUUUUAUUCCUUAAUCUUGACUAAUUCAAUUUGACCCAAGGCAUAGCUAAGAUUUACGGGAUAGGACAUUAGUGUAUCUAAUACUACAUAAUUUAGAUGAGGAUCGCCGUCCCAAUUUGAAGUUUUCCUAGAAGUUUCACAAUUAAAUAAGAAAAAGAAGAACGGUCAUCUAGGCCAUUUUGAACUUGUGGACUGAGAUCAUAAACUUUCAAUAUAUGCAGAAAGGUAUUUCUUUAAAGACGAAAGAACUUGUACCUGAAUCCAACGGCGACAUAAUUCUUCAGUAGUAUUUUCAAAAAAGCCACAUAUAUCAGCUCCAACCAUGGGAAUCCCAAACAAUCCAGAACCCAAAGUGCUGGGAAUAAUAUAAGCCAAGUCAUCCCAAGUGGCUGCAUUAUCUCCCGUCCAAUGUGCUGUGUACUUGCCAGAACCCACAAAGGUUGAUUUGCCAAGUAUAAAUGGCCUUUUGCCAGUAAUAUCGAUUAAAGCAGCAUUGGUCGUUUUAGCUUCCAGAAAUCCGUAGAGGUUAUGAAGAUUGUACUCUUAAGGCAUUUCCAAAAUGCACUGAUGUUGCUGGGACAGUAAUCUCGUUAAUUGGACGUAAGCUUCCAUUGUUACUGAUCUUAUAAGGAGGGUUGUCAAGGGCAGAAAAUGGGGUUGGAGGCGAAGAGAUGAAGUUAGUUAUCUCGUUCAAGUCAAGCCAGAGCCCAUCAACAGGGAGAAGGUCAUGGAAAAUCUUGAUUUCGUUAUUCCAGAAGACUCUGCCUCGGGGAUUUAUGAAAUCAGGAAAGUAUACUUUUCCAGGGAAACCUUCGCCACGAUAAGGGACACCAUUGUGUUUGAUGAAAACGUCCGCUUGCAUCCCUCUCUGGUAUGUCUCAUAUGAGCUAUUUAUGCUGAUCCCUGUGAACAAGUUAUUGAGAUCAUAAAUGAAACAAGGGUAGUGCUCUGAUUAAGUCAUUUAACCGAUUACCUUCGUAAUUUCUAAACUUCUACAUCAACUUAAAGUAUAAAUAUUAACAAAAAAGAGGCAGCUCGGUGCACAAAGCAUCUCGCGGUCACACAAGUUCCGGGAAAGGCUACACCCCAAAGGAGUGUGAUGUAGGUAGCCUACCUGACGCUAAUGAAGCAAGAAGUUGAAUAUGUCAGAACUCACCUGGAUCCAAUAUGACAACAAAUUUCUGGCCAUUGUGGUGAAGUGCAUCGACAAGUUUCUUCAUCUGGUCAAGUGGGAAGUUAAUAGGAUCAAGUGUGAAAUCCUUAUAACCAUCAAUAUAAUCAAUAUCUGUCCACAUGACCUCAAGAGGGAUCUGAGCUUUUGCAUAGCCAGCAACCACAUUCCGAACAUCAGUAAUAUCUUUAUAACCAUUCGGCAUUGCUGAAAUCCUGUGGCCAACAAUUCACAAUAGAUUGCAUGAAAACAAUAUGUCCAUCUAUCUGUCUCAAACCAUAGAUGUACAUAUUGUAGAAAUAAAACACAAUCCUCAUAUUCACAACUAGUCAAAGCUCUAUCCACCCCAUUAUGAGUACUGAAAGAGGUCGGAUCACAUAACGUUAUAUAACCGGGCUCUGCACUAACGAAUGCUUGAGACAACAAGAAACUGUGCAUAUUUUUUAAGUAUCAAACAAAAUUUAAAUGUUAGGGCCAUAUGAAGUUAGUAAACAGAAUAAACACUACGAACCAAUAGGUAAUUCGCUAGCAUAAUUACAUACCAAAAGACCAGUAUGGCAUGGGCGCGGGGCGGCCAAUGAGCUCUGUGUACUGCUCCAUGACCGACUCUGGCACAGGACCAGCAAAGAAGUACAAGUCAAUGACCCCUCCAAUCACCUUGUAGGUAAUUCUGUCACCAGUAUAUACAAUGUCCAUACCAUUGCUAUUGAACAGCAAGACUCCGUGACUGGUCCCCACCCUAGGAUGAGACCUGACAUCCAUGUAAAAAGGGUGGGAACCAUACAAGUUGACGACAACAUUGAGACUAGGAAUAUCAACAUUCCAAAGAGUUAAUGUCUGGUUAUGCUUGACCUUAAAUGUUCUCUUGGUAUGCUCCCCGAGGCCAUAGAUAGAUGACCGAUUAUCUGGCAAUGAAGAGGACAGUUGAAGGUACUGAUCCUUGAAGAUGAGGAAUGUGUCCGGAGAUCCAUUUUUAGGUGAGGUGUCGAAAAGAACGUCUCCUGAGGAACGACGCGUGAUAGUGAAGCCAAAAGGGGUGGUAUUGUAGAGAGUGAAACUAAGGUCAGAAAUGGUGUUUGUGUGGAUGUAAUGCGUGUCUUCGUUAGAAGAGAGCUUUCCUAGGAGGGAGUUUCUGGGGGAUGAAUGUGUUUCACGGGGGAUAAAUUCUUGAGGAACUUCCCAUCUUUGGAAUACCUUUUUUCAAAUUACCUUCAAAUACUACUUUUUUUUUUUUUCAAAUAUCACUCAACUCAUGUACAAACAACUACUUAAAAUUAAGAGAAAAUGCAUCAAAAUUCAAUCAAACUUGUCUGUCCAACUUACUUUAGCACUUAAAUUAAUCUUCUAUUUAUUUACCCCUUAACAUCUUUAAAGUAAAUUAAUUUCAAACCUAAUAUUGACGUGACAUUUUUCUAAAAAAAAGAAAAGAAAAAAAAUGCGUGAAUUAUUUUUAUUUUUUAUUUUAAAAGCCAAAUAAUCUUAUAUAAAAUAUAAUAGAAAAAAAAAAUUCCCCCUUCUUCUUCACCUAUCCCACCCGUCAACACCCCCACCCCACUCCUCCCUUCAAUUGUCAUAUCCACCACCACCACCACUCAUUUCUUGAAUUUGACAACAAAAAAAUAAAAUUUCUUGAUUUGUUGUUGAAUCUACAUUCUGAUUUUGGUCUUUGGGGAUUUAUUAUAAAAUGAAUCAUUUGAUGUAAAUUCACAAAUUUGAAUGCAAGUGCUAAUUAAUUAUGUUUUUUUUUUUAGAAAUUUAUGAUGUUCUAUUUAUCUUGUUCCUAUAAUUUUUUUCAAUCUGGAUCAUUUCAUCUUUGAUUAUGUUCUUUUUUUUGCAGGAUAAUUUGGUAAAAUAAAAUUGGUACUAUAGAAUUAAUUAACUUAUCUAAGUCCUGCAUCUUUUUCUAUGCUGGAAAUGCUUGGUUUGGAUGCUUGGUUGUUGAUUUUAGAGAAUUUAGUAUUGAUUUGAUCGAAUUUAUUAGGUGGGUUAAGUUUUUUAUCACUACUUUAUGAUAUUUUUUUAUGGUGGUAAUGGCGAAAUCUAACGUGUGUGGGCAGGUGUGGCUGUGUGGGGGUGGACAGAGGUGGAUGGGGGGUGCAGGUGUGGCGGUGGACGUGAGGGGGAGGGGAAGGAGGGAUGGUUAUGAAGAAGAUGGAAAAUGGGGGUGGGUAUUUUUAAAAUUUAAAAUAUUUUAUAUAUAUUUAAAAAUAUGUAUAUGUAUAUAUAUAUAUAUAUAUAAAUGUUUAUUAAUAUUAUAUAUAUAUUUAUAGAAAAAAUAUUUAAAAAACACUUUAUUUAUGUUGCUCCGACAUGGAGGUGAUGUGGCGCUGAUGUAUCAAUGAGUGUGAUGCACUCUCUAUUAUGAGAGUGUUAUUAUAUAUUAAGGGGUGAAAUUGUUUUCCUUUAAAGAUGUUAACGGGAUAAAUGAAUAGAAGAUUAGUUUAUGUGCUAAAGUAAGUUGGACAGACAAGUUCAGGAAGAUUUUGAUGCAUUUUCUCUGAAAUUAAUGAAAUUUCAAUAAUUAUAUAAUAUAAAAAUUUAUCAGUAUCAAGAUCAUUACCAAGCAGUAAGGCUGAGAAUUUGAAUAUCAGGUCCAUAAACAGGAGAACCUUUGAUGAGCUGAAGACUAGCUGUCAAUGUCCUACCAGAUGAGUCAACACCUACUGAUCUAACAAUAUAGCCAUAUCCAAUUGGUUCAGAAUUUGUUUUAAGUGCUAAUAAUUGAACCAAUAAAGUGAAAUACAAUAGAAAAUUGGAUAGAACAAUUAUAGGACAAGAUUUUAUAGAUUUAUCAGUACUCAUUGUGAUAAGGAAAAUAUAAUAAUGUCUGAACUUUGUUGUAUGAUAUUAUAUGGGAAAUGGAAGAUACUGUAUGGUCCCACACUCAACUAUAUGUGGCUGCUAAUGGAAGGUGCAGGGGCGGCUAAUGGAACUUUGUUGUAUGAUAUUAUACGGGAAAUGGAAGAUAGUGUAUGGUCCUUUAUUAAAUAGUCCCGCACUCAACUAUAUGUAGCUGCUAAUGGAAGGAACAGGGGCGGCUAAUGAUAUUUUACUAUGGGUCUCAUGCAUGGAAAAUUUUAACAUGGGCGAUGCACAACUAUUAUUAGUUGUAUAAGGGAUUUUUUUAAUUGAUAAUAUAAUAUUCUGUGGGACCCACCACAUCAACUUAGUUGUCCUAUUCAUCCGACCCAUUUUUUCCUUUGCUUUUUAUUUGUCUAUCCUCCUGUCCUUACUCUUACCUCUUCUUCUUCUUCUUUUUUCACAUUUUUUGGAUUUAUCAAUUUUAUACUCCGUUAGUUUUGUUUUGCUCCCUUCAUUUUAUUUUACUUGUCAUAAAUAUUUUAAUUUUAUUUCUAUAUUUAUUUGUCAUUUGGUACUUAUCAAAAAAAAAUAUUUUUUUAUUCUUACUAUUAAUUAUUUUUUAUUCAAAUUAAAAUAUAAACAUCAUUUAAUAGGAAUAUUACGGUUAAGUAGUCAUGUUAUUAAUUAUUUUUCUUAAUCAAUGUGUCAAGUAAUAUUGUGACAAGUAAAAUAAAACGGAGGAAGUAUUUGAUUUGUUGAAAAUAAACAUUCAUUCAUUUAUUUAUUUAUUUAUUUAUUUAUUUAUUUUAACAAGUAAAUAAAUAAAUAUCAUUUUUAAUACUAAUAUCAUAAUUAAAUAACUACAUAAGAUUUUAAUAGUUAAAUUUUCGAAUAUCAGAAAACUUGGAAAUUUUUUGUUAGAAAACUUUGAAUAUAACAUUUUCAGAAAAAAAAAAUAAUUAAAUGAACAAAAAUGAAAUUUAAAAAACUUGUGACUUCCGUCAAUAGGUUCAGCUGAAUGAUAAUUUUUUUUAAAAGAACCUCAUGCUUCUCCAUAAACUUCAAACGUCGUUUCACUAUUUUCUUAUAAGUUCAUUUUUACACAUAAAUUAAAUUGUGUUUGUAUUAGAAGUUUACUCCCUCAGUUCUUCAAUAAGUGAAUUAUUGGAGUAUUUUUAGGGUUCAAAAUAAGUGACUGAUUCACAAUUCAAGGUAGAUUUUGAAUUUUUUUUUAAAAUUUACCUUCUAUUAAAUGUGCAUUGGGAGUGAUGUAUUAUUAUAUAUUAAGGUUUAUAAAUUUGAAAAGGAUAAAAGUGGAAAAACAUGAUAAAUUUAUGUCUUUACUUUUUUUUCUUAACAUGUAUGUCAAGAUUCAACAAUUAACUUAUCAUGAAACGGAGGAAAUAUUUAUCAAACUAAUCUUAUUAUUUAUAUUUUGAAAAUUUAAAUUUGAUUACUAAUAGUUUAUAUAAUUUUUUAGUGAUGAAUACUAAUAAAUUAACAUCAACUUUUUAUUUUUUAAAAUACAUAAAUAAAAAGAAAAAUUAUUUCAGUGGGCCAAAUAAAAAAAUAAAGAGAGUAACAAAAUUGGGUUUUAAAUAGAAAAUAUGUGCAAAAUUAACUAAAAGAUAUAUGAGGAGAUGAGGGGAAGGAAUACAUUUUCUGACCCAACAGGCCCACAAAUACACGUGUCAAUAUAUAAAAGAUGCCUCACACAACUAUUGUUGGUUGUGUUUCACUCAUGUUAAAAUUUUUCCUCAUGCACCACCUAACAUAUUUGCAUGAGACCCUAUUAUUUUGAUACAUAAACUUUGUUGGUCCUAUCUAUCAAAUCAGUUCUUUCUUUCUCCAUAUUCCUUUACCUUUUUUUUUUUAAAUAACUCAUCUUUUUGCUCUUUUGUUUUAGAGUUAAUUUUUAUUUAUUUAUUUAUUUAUUUAUUUAUUUUGUCUUUCUUUAUCUUAGCUUUUUAAUUUUUUUCGUGCUCAUGAAACUAAUCAAAUUAAUGAUCUUUUUAUCUUCCUAAUUCCUACUUGUAGAUAUUUGCAAUCAUAUCAAAUUUAUAUAGUAUUUUUUUGUUUUAAUUUAUUUAUAUAGUCCUUGGGUGUUUCAAGGGGUCUAGCAGGUCGGCAUAAGGGGGACUGGUGGUGGAAUGAAAAAGUUAAAAAGAAAGUGGAGAAAAGAAGGGGGCGUAUGUGAAGUUGAUUGAGAGUAAAGACGAAAAGGGAAAAUGGGGGAAUUGUGAGGUUUACAAAGUAGCAAGGAAAGAGGCUAAGUUAGCAGUUAUGGCUGCUAAGACAGUAGCUUUUGAAAGCUUGUAUGCGAGGUUAGAUGAGAAAGGAUGGGAAAAAAGGUUUUAUAGGCUGGCUAAGGCUAGGGAGAGGAAGGGUUGUGACCUCGAUCAAGUGAAGUGCAUUAAGGGGGAGUGGUAGAGUUUUGGUGGGGGAUGUUCACCUUAAGAAGAGAUAGUAGGAGUAUUUUCAUAGACUUCUAAACGAGGAGGGGGACAGAGGCAUUGUGUUAGGGGAGCUGGAGCGCUCGGAGAAGAGUCGUGAUUUCAGUUACUGUAGACGUUUUAAGGUUGAGAAGGUUAGAUAGGUUAUUCGUAGGAUACAGAGGGGUAGGGUGAUGGAGCCUGACGAGAUUCCGGUGGAUUUUUAAAAGUAUACUGGUGGGGCAGGUUUAAGGUGGUUGAUUGAUUUGUUUAACGUUAUUUUUAAGACGACGAGAAUGCUUGAGGCUUGGAGAUGGAGUAUGAUGAUUCUGUUAUAUAAAAACAAGGGUGACAUUCAUAGUUGCAACAACUAUAGUGGUAUUAAACUGUUGAGUCACACUAUGAAGAUUUUGGGAGAGGAUGGUUGAACAGAAAUUGAGGAGGGUUGUGUCCAUUUUGGAGAAUCAGUUUGGUUUUAUGCCUAGUCAUUCGACGAUAGAAGCAAUCCACCUGGUGAGAAGAUUGGUGGAGCAGUAUAGGAAAAGAAAGAGGGACUUGCACAUAGCGUUCAUCAACCUAGAGAAGGCGUACGACAAAGUCCCUAGGGAGGUUCUUUGGAGUGCUUGGAGGUGAGUGGAGCUUCGGUGGUGUACAUCAAAGCUAUUAAGGACAUGUACGAUGGAGGAAAGACUCGGGUGAGGACGACGGUAGGAGACUUAGGGCAUUUUUCGGUUGAGACAGGUUUGUAUCAGGGAUCGACUCUUAGUCCAUUCCUUUUUGCGUUAGUGAUAGACGUGCUGAUGCAAAGUAUUCAAGGGAAGGUGCCUUGGUGUAUGUUAUUUGCGGAUGAUGUAGAGUUGAUUGAUAAGACGCGGGGAUGUAUGAAUGAGAAAUUGGAGGUUUGAAGGCAAACCCUUGAAUCUAAGGGUUCAGGUUGAGUAGGUCCAAGACGGAGUAUUUUGGAGUGCAAGUUUAGCGACUCGAGUCAGGAGGACGAAGUGACGGGAAGGUUGGAUUUCUAGGAUGUUUGUAAGAGGGAUAGUUUUAAGUAUUUGGAUUCUAUGAUUCAGGGAAAUAACGAGAUUGACGAGGAAGUCUCCAAACAUAUUAGAGUAGGUUAGAUAAAGUGGAGGCUCACCUUGGGAGUGUUGUGUGAUAAGAAGGUACCCCUUAAGCUUAAAGGUAAAUUCUACAGAGUGAUAGUCCGUCCGGCCAUGCUGUACGGAGUGGAGUGUUGGCUAGUCAAGAACUCCCACAUUCAAAGAUUGGAAGUGGCGAAAAUGAGAAUGUUGCAUUGGAUGUGUGGACUCACUAGAGGGGAUAUAUUUAGGAAUGAGACUAUCCGGGAUAAGGUGGGAAUAGAUUUGGUGGAGGACAAAAUACGAGAAAGAAGGUUGAGAUAGUUUGGGCAUGUAAUGAGGAAGGGCACGGAUGCCCCAGUUCGGAGGUGCGAGAGGCUAGCUUUGGAUAGCUUCAGGAGGAGUAGAGGUAGGCUGAAGAAAUACUGGGGGGAGGUAAUUAGACCUGACAUGGAGCAGCUUCAGCUUACUGAGGACAUGACCCUAGACAGGAAGGUGUGGAGGUCGCGGAUUAGGGUAGAAGGAUAAUGUGAGCGUGUGGAUUGUAGCAAGGUGGUAGGAGAGCGCUUGUGUAGCCGGGUUAGUAAUCCUAGGGUUGUGUUCGUGAGUAGGAGCCUUUAGUUAGGAGAGUUUGGGUGUGGUGGGUGUCUUUGGUCUGUGAGUGCAUGUUACUACUAGGUGGGUGUCCUCUUUCUUAUUUCUUAUUUCGAAUUGCUAGUAUUUCGCUUAUUUUAGUAUUUCUCUGAUAUUUAUUUUGUAUUUUAUGUUUAUUAUUUCUUAUCUCGUAUUUCGUUUAUGCUAUCUAUCCUGUUUCAUGUUUCAUUACGAUUUUGAUGUACUAUUCUUUAUCUUGAGCCGGGGGUCUAUUGGAAACAACCUCUCUACUUCUGCGGAGGUAGCGGUAUGAACUGCGUACAUCUUACCCCUCCCCAGACCUCACUUUGUGGGAAUACACUGGGACUAUUGUUGAUAUGUCACUUUUCUAGAAGUUCAUUUCAAAAAGAAUGUCUUUUUUAUUUUCUAUUUUUUUAUUUUAACUGUUUACAUGACAUGUUUAAAAUCACAAAAGUUAAAGAAUACUUGAAUAUAUUUUAUAUUUUUUAAAUUUAAGAUCAAUCAAGAGCCGGUUUGGAUAGGAUUAAAACUAACUUUUUAAUUUAUAUGUUUAAAAGCUGAAAAUAAAUGUUUAGAAAUUAAGAAGAUAAAUGUUUGGAUAAAAGUGUUGAAACUGAAAAGAAGUUGUGGAUGUGCUUGAUAAACAAGGGUUGUUAAACACUUUUUUACUAUCAAAAUGACUUAAAUACUUUUAAAGCUGCUAAUACCAUAAAUAAGUUAAAUUAUAUAUAAUUUUUAAUUCUAAUAAUUCAAAAACAAAGAAAAAUAUGAAGAGAAAACUAGAAGAAAGAGACGGAGAGAAGAGGCAAAGAGAAAAAUAAAGAAAACUAAUAUAUUUAAAGGCUGCAAAUUUAGGGUAUUGUUGAAAUUGAAGAAAAAUAUAAGGAAUAAGAAGGUAAAUGUCUAGGUCAAACUAAAGAGAAUUUUAGUUUAAAAGGUAAAAAAUUGGGGGUACCCGGCGUCUCACUUUUUUUUAAAAGCAAAUUUUAACAUUUUUAAGUACUUUUUAAUUCUACCACACAUCUAAAAAAGUUAAAAGGAAAUUAAAAGUUGAUUUGAUCAGAUUUUAAUCUUAUUCAAACGAACUCUAAAAGUUAUUUUAAUUUAAUUUUUUAUGUCUAUUUAAUGAUAGGGCAACUCUAAAAUUUUAGGAAAAGAGUACUAAAAAAAUUAAAAUCAAUAUUUAGAUUUAUGUAUGUAACGUUCCGAAUCUAGUACCCUGAAUGCUACACGGUGCUCAUGAUCCCGAAGAAUCACAAGCUAACCCAUGACUGAUAUCUGUAUCUGAACACUGCAUAAUAUACUGUAUAAAUACGGAAAUAGUAGGCUGAAACAUGCCAUAAGGUUCAAAACUGAUAAACAUCUGAUAAAACAAUAUCUGAAUAAUAUGGUACGACAAUACUAAAACUGAAACAAUGUCAGAAAACAUCUAGUCUGAAAACACUGUAGUUUGAAAGCCUCUAAACUAUUUGAAUAAGGAGUUGAUGAGACAUGUCUUCAACUAACUCCAACUACUGAAAUAAACUAAAUAAUGAAGAAAUAAAGUAAUGAUCAUGUCCUCGAAGGAUGAGGACUCACUGCUAACUUUGACUGCUAAAACUGGAAUGCUACUGAUGCUCUGGAGCUCGUGCUUCUGAACCUAUGGUAUAGAAUAAAACACCAUAGCGUAAAUGUGUCAGUAAGAUUGAAUGUACUGGUAUACAUGUGAGGUAGGCUGAAUGCAAAGGGUUCAAAUGCAUGAACAAUGCUAACUGACUGUAUAACAUGAACGUGAGAAUACAUGCAUGAAUAAGUGACUGUGACUGAAUUCGUGAUGGUACUGGAUACUGAGUCUGAUUACUGAUAACAUAAGUCACUAAUAACUGAUAUAACUGAUACUGAGUGACUGUAGCUGACAGUCUAGGUUUUGAUGAAACUAACUGAGUUUCGUACUGUUUUGAGUUGAUUGUAUCUGAUAGUCCUUAAAUUUUGAAGAAUUAUCUGAGUUCUAUUACUGAGACUGAGUCUAAAACUGUAGCUGUAGGAAGUAGUCAUCUAAUUGACAUGCCCCAAAUAAAGCAAUAUAGCUAGGUUGGGGUCCAAUUCGUAAUCUCAAUUGGAAGGGUGUCAAUAUCACGCCACUAAUAAAGACAAGCUGUGGGUGACCCUCAUCUGAUAGUGUCCCCAAAAGAAAAUGAUGGAACCCUCAUCUUACAGUGUUUAUCCACCUCAUCAACCCUCAUCUGUCAGUGUUGAUGUCUCAACCUAUACUGGCUAUAUAGUUCUGGAAUGCAAUGAUUGCUUCUAAGGAUAACACCCUCAACUGUCACUGUGUCCUCAUCCUUGGGUUCACUCAGUGCUAAAUCCUACUUCCAUCUGAAUAGACACUAAACAUGAUUAACUAAACUGAACUGGACUGAGUUUAUUGAGUUUCAUUGACUGUUGGAAUACUACUGAGAUUACUGAAUUACUGAGCUUUCUGAGAUUAUUGGGAUUACUGAGUUUACUAAGUUUUCUUGAGUCAUAUGACUAACUGAAUUCUACUGAACAUAACUUGACUGAGGAUAUCGUGAGAACAUGACACUGGCUCUAGACACACAGCUAAAUUAUCGGGUACAAGUAUCCCCAGGACUCGAUAGAAGGAAACUGACAAGGCAUGACAUUCUUGAACACAACCAACAUCAAUAAUCCAUAAUACAAUGAGUUGGGGAUUUCAUGAAGUACAUGGUUAUCAUAAUCUUAUACAUGGUAGGAAUGCAUAUACUCAAUAUCAUAAUUUCAUACUCUAACAUCAUGAGCAUUCCAACAAACAUCUAUAUUGCACAUCAAUAGCAUGGGAGUCAUUCGAACAUAAGGGUAAAACAUGAAUCCUUCACUUAAGUGACAAUUGAGUCAUAUUACAUAAUUUCUAGUCUCUUAGGCAUUUUGUCAAACACUUAAGGUGCAUGACUUAAGGCAUGGAAUAAUCAUCAAAUUAACAUAUCAUAACCAACUAAAAUUCAUGGUUUUCAACUCACAUGCUAACAUAUUUUCAUAAAAACACAUUAAGAUUCCAACUUGAGAAUCAUACAACAACAACCACCACAUGAACAUAAUCACCACAUAGAAUGAAUAUCAUAAUUCAUAGUUUAAAACUUGAUUCUUGGGCUUCAUGGACGAAAGGAAUCCAUGAAUGAACACUAUGCAUACCUAAGAAAGGAAACCUUGAAGGUUCUUGGAGUUCUUGGAUGGAUUUCUUGAGAUUGACCUUGAUUCUCAAGGGCUAGGGUUUUAUUUUCUUGAGAGAGAAUGUUCUUGAUAGUGGGGAAAAAGUGAAUAAUAAGUAGCUAAGGAUGUUUUUAAGGCUUAAAUCCCACAUCUUAGUGGAAUAAAAUCAUGACAAAAGACCCAUUUAACUCUGGACGCGUCUUUUAAUUUUUGUGAAAAUUUUUCGAUCUGAACCCCUGGCGUGAAGCGGCGCUAUAGCUACAUGUCUCUGGAAAGUGAAAACUAAAAAAUUUCAUGGUGGCGCAACGCGGUACAAUCACGUUGCCACCUUGGACGCGACCUGGAAUCUCACCGCGACACGGUGGUAUCGCGUUGGAACACUGAAAAAGGAAAAUUGUGAACUGGGCCUUUGGCGUGACGUGCCACUAUCGCGGAGCAACAAUGGAAAUUGACAAUUUCCGUUUAAGUUGGCUCCGCGAUGCGCUGAUUGCUCAGGUGAUACACUGUCUCACUAAAAAGGUUCAACUCUUUGCCCGGGUGUCGGAUUUGGGCGAAUUUGAUAUCGAUGGAAAGCUUAUUGAAUUUUUCACACAACAAAAAGUAAAAAUCUUAAAAAUUCCAAGUAUAUAAAAGUGUAUUCAUCCUUAAAGCAUUUCUUUGACAUCUUCGGGAUGAAUUUAAGUUAGGUAGAACUACGGGGUAUUACAAUAUAGGACCCACUCCAUUUUUUGAUCCUAUCAACUUUAAAUUUUACUAUACCAGAGAUACCCUUAACAAUAUAAAAUAUGUGAUGAUUCUUAAUUUCUAAAUUUUAGAUAUAAAUUUAAUAAUAUUAAAUCAUAAUAAAUAAUGUCAUAUAGAAUUACGAAAGAUAAAUUUAUUACUUGUGAAAUUUAAUUUUAAAUUUUCAAUAUCCAAAAUUCUUUAUACUAACAAAAAAUUAAGAGAAUAUAAUUAAAAAUAAAUUACCACCAUAGUUGAGUGAAAAAAAAUUAAUUUGUUUAUAAAUACCAAUAAAUAAAAAUUAGGAGGAAAUAAAAACAAAGAAAAAUAAUAAAAACAUCAAUUUAUUUAGUACAGUAACACGAGAAAAAAAAUUGAAGAACAGAAAAAGAAAGAAAAAUUAAAAAAAAAGUAAAUAAAAGUUAACCCCAUAAAAGAAAAAGGAAAAGGAAAAAAGUGAUUUGUCCAAAAAAUGAAAAAAUUAAAUAACUUAGGAAAUAAAAGAAUAUAAAAAUGCAAAUUAAUUUAGGUGGUGGGGCCCACAAAGCUUAUGUGUCAAAAUAAUAGGGACCUCAUGCAAAUAUGAGAUGGUGCAUGAGGCCUAUAGUAAAAUUUUUCAGCCGCCUUAGACCCCCAAAUUUGAGAGGCAUCAUUUUUUAGGAUAAUAUAUUAUAAAUAUUUUUAAAAAAUGAAAAAAUAUUUUUAAUAGAAAAAUUAAGUUAUUUUAGAUAAAAGGAAAGAAUUAUUAAAAGUUCAUAUAUCUAGAGUGUUUUGUCUCAUGAAAGAUUAAAUGUAUUAAUUUAUUAUUUCUUAAAAAGGAAUAAUUUAAAAAAUAAAUUAUAUAAUUUUUAAAAUAAAGUUUAUUAAAAAAAUAUUUUUUUCUUAAAAUUUUAAGGCCUCCGUUUGACUUUCGCCUUAGGCCACCGAUUUUCUUGAGCAGCCCCUGGGAAGGUGGCAAGUAUUUCACGAAUUUAGUCGAGGUGCAUGAAAGUUGAACUAGAUGCCAGCAUUAUAAAAAAAAUAAUUUUUGAAGUUUCAACUAUAGUGUUUCAAAAUUUUCAAGUUUAGUGGUUUUUUAAUGCGGAUUUAAAUUUCAUAUUAUGUGGGAAAUGGAAAACAUUGUAUGGUCCUUCAUUCAAUGGUUACAUACUCAAGUAUCUAUUGGUGGUGGUGGAAGGUGACAAGUAUUAUGUGAAUUUGGUCGAGGAACGUUGUAAGAAAAUCAUUUUUUUACUGUUAACUAAACUAUAGCUAGUAGUGUCUAUGUUACAAAUUCGGACAAGUAUAAGUAUAAUCGUCCAAUAGAUUAUUGUGAAAAUUGAAAGAUGUUGUCUAAUACCUAAACAACAAAUUCACCAACCAAAUUGAAGAAAAUGGAAGGAAAAUGGCAUCGUCUCUAGUUACCAAACAGUUUAUCGGGGCUCCGUUUUCCAGAUUCGGAUCGGUUCAGCUACCAUCCAACUUCUCCUCUUCUAACCUUCAAACUCCUAGCUCACCGAUUGCAGCCUAAACGAGUAGGUGAAACUUUGUGCCCUCCACCUGUUUGUUAAAAUGUUUGAAUGAACAACUUUAGGUUUAUCACCUUUUUCCUUGUUUUUGUGUGAAUUAAGACAUUGGGUUUUAAACUUUCUUACAAUUUUCUUGUUUUGAGAACUAUGGUGUCCGAGUCAGUUUAUGUGCACCUUAAAUAAUUUCGCAUGAUAUCUGUCCACUUCCUACUAGCGAUGGAUAGAUAUCAGGUAACUCUAAAGCUAAAUUUAUGUGAUACCUCUCCUUCAUGUAUAAAUUUGGUGCAAAAAUUUCAAGAACAAGACUAGUAUGGAUGUUUGGCAGGUGGACUGAAUAAGUUACUUCUUUUAAUCUUAUAAUUAUUCAAUUUCAUUAGUAUCUUUAUUUACCUGAUUCAUGCCAACUCUUGCUCAGUAAGGACAAAUCAGGGAUGAAUCUAUAAACAAAAGUAGAUUGUUAUGUCCUUUAAAUCGUAAUUGAAUCGUGAGAGAGAAAUCGAAGAUUCAAUCGAAUAGAAUUGAGAUUUUAUUGAUAAUAGUUCAGUAAAAUUGUUACAAUAGCAUUCACUACUACAAGAUUAUUGCGAACCAAACUCCAUUGAUAAGAAUCUAGCUUUGUAAUCUGUGAUAGUGCGUUAAUGGUGAGGAAGAAUUAGUCGAGGAAGAAGGAAAACGCAAAAAGAACAAGAGCAACAAAAUAACCCUGUCCAAAUCUAUUUAGGCUCCGCUCCACGUGUGUUGGUAUAACCGUUUGGACCUGCUCUAGCUAUCACCCAUCAUUUGGUCGUUCAUCACUUUAAUGAAGGAUCCAUCUUGUCCGUUUAUUUUAUCUCAUUCUAUGGCUUCCACAAGGACACAACCUAAACUGUGCCAUCGAAUCACUUAACAUAUAAUCCUACACUACUUUCCCAAUUCACACUUUCCCAAUUCACACUUUAGGAUCUAACAAUACCCCUCUGAUCAAAUUGACUUUGUCCUCAAGGUCAAGAUUGAGAUGAAAAUGCCAGAAAUUGAUGAUGAAUGUAAUUUCAGUCCGCCCAGGUUUCUUCCUCAGGGCUAAAAUUAGUUCAACAGACCAAAACCUUUACUGCAGAAGUGUUGUUCUCCUUCAUCAUACAACACUGAAGAAUGGCCAAUGGCUGCACAAUGACUAGACCUUCGUCAUCAUAGAUUGGGGCCUUACGAUGUAGUACAACAGAAGGACCAAUGCAAUAUUUCAACUACGAAACAUGGAAAACAAGGUGGAUUAUGGAUCCAGCAGGAAAUUCCAAAUGGUAUGCUACUGUACCAAUUCUCUGUAAGAUCCUGUAGGGUCCAUAUUAGCAAGCACUCAAUUUUAAAUUCCGUCGAAUGACUAAUGUUACUCUGGUGGUAAGACUGGAGUUUGAGAUAGACUAAGUCACCUUCCUAGAGCACACAUUACGAUCUAUUUUGAUCAGCAUAAAAAUUCAUACGUGACUGAGCCUGGAAAAGAUUGUCCUUCAGAGAGUACAAGAGUUAUUGUUAGUGAGUCAAGUACAUCCCAGCCUGGGAUUAGUAGGAUGUAGAAGGGGCCCUAGCGAAAUAUGAGGUGGGGCAAACCCGUAUAAGGCCUGAAAAGAAGUGUAUUGAUAGCAGUAUGGUGGUUAGUAUUGUACCACCACUCAGAUAGUAGUAGAAAGGUGGUCCACUGUUUAGGAUUGUUAGAGGUCAUAGCCCGUAAGUAGAAGUUAAGACAACGAUUUGAACGCUUCAUUUGACCAUCGAUCUGGGGGUGGUAGGAGGUUGAUAGUUUGAGUUGAGUGCCCAUAGAUUUAAAUAUAGUUUGCCAGAAUUAGCUAGUAAUAAUGGGUCACGAUUAGACACGAUACUCUAGGGAAGACCAUGUAGCUUGUAAGUUGAUGUUGGGUGUAUUUAUACACUUUAGUGUUGCUAUCCUAACUUAUUUAGUCUUGUUUUAAGGACAAUUCAUGUUCUUUAUGUGUUGAUAUAAAUAAGCAUCUAAGUGUUCAAGUAUGUAAUUACAAUGUUCAAUGGUGUUUUCAAACAAGUUUGGGUUUAAAUUGAUCAUUUAGAGUCUAGACGAGAAAACUAGUUUACUAGCUUUUGCUAGGUAUUGUUCUAGUUGUUUUCUAUAGAUUCUAGUGGGUGUAUUGAGUUCCUCAGGUUAUUAUUGUGUAAUUAUAUCUGGAACAACUUGUUUGUAAUGUGCAAAGUUCAAUUGGAUCGAGUCAAGAGUCGGAACAAUAAGUUAAAGAUCAAUGUGGGGAAAAAUGACCUUCUGAACCCCUGUACUAUGUCAGUUUUGUAAGUUGGACACUUCUACUUACAUGUUUGUCAUCUGGACCCUUGAACCCAUAAAAAAGCAAUAUUUUGCACCCUUUGACCUUUGACCUUGCCUAUGUGGCAAGGUCAUGGUGACUAAGACAGAGAGUGUAGCCACUCGCCUGGGGUGCGAGUGGGGGUCAUUUUUUGGCCAAUUUUACAUUAAAAUAAUUUUAAAAAAUAAAAAAAUAUUAAAAUUUAAAAAAAUUUCAAAAGGAUCCUUUUUUCCCUCUAUCUUUUUAAAUUUUAAAAUAUUUUAAAAAAUUUAAAAAUAAUUUUAAAAUAUUUUUAAAAAUUUAAAAAUAAUUUAAAUAUAUUUUUAAAAUUUUAAAAAUAAUUUAAAAAUAUUUUUAAAAUUUUAAAAAAAAAUAAAAAAGGGUCCUUUUUUCUCUCCAUUUUUUUUAAUUUAAAAAUAUUUUUAAAAAUAUUUUUAAAAUCAACUUAUUUUCCUCAAAUUUUAAGAAAAAUAACUUUCCUUCAAAAAGUAAGGAAAAUAUUUUUUAAAAUUCUCUUCAACCUCUCUCUCAGGUUGAAAUAUUCAUCAACUCUCAAAAUCAUCCAUUCCUGCCCACUCAAAAAAAAAUAGCAUUUAGCGACGAAAUUUACCGACAGAUUAUUUUCUGUCACUGAUUAGUGACGGAUUAGCGACGGAAGCAUCAAUUUUGUCGCAAGCAUAGAAAGUACCUUUUUAAUUUAUGAUAUAGCAAUAGAUCAAAAACAGGUUUUUUUUCAUCGCCAAAUAUUGACGUAAAAAUUUGGUCCCUUAAUUCCGUGACGGAUUUAGCAACAAAUUAUGUGUAAUCAUUUUAAUAAAUUUGUAGCAAUGAAUUUAGCAACAGAUAUUUGUGUCAGUAUCAUUUAUAAUAUUUUUAUAAAUUUUAUUUAUUACUAGCGAUAGAAUAAUCUGUCACAAGUAUUUAUAAUUAUUAAAAUUAGUAUAUGUUUAUAUUCUCAAAAUAUCUAGGGCGGCAUUCAUUUUAUAAAUUUUUCUUAUUUAAUUAAAUUAAUUUUAAUAUUUAAUUUGGUUAUGUAGAAUUUUAAAAAUGACUUAAAAUUUAAUGUAAUACUUUUUUUUAAAAAAAUGAUGUGACAGAUGAUGUGGCAGACGUGUUAGGCCUGGCAGCUGAUAUGGCAGCUGAUGUAGGGGAGAGUGUGUUACACUCACCAACAAAAGGGUUUAAAAUGUUGCUUUUAGUGGGUUCAGGGUUCAGAUGACAAACAUGCAAGUAGAAGUGUCCAACUUACAAAAUUGACAUAAUACAGGGGUCCAAAAGGUCAUUUUGCCAUCAAUGUGGACAAGCCUAGUCUUAGAUCGUGUUUUAGUUAAUUGCUGUGAAUGUUGUAUUAUUUUAAACUCUAAUAUUUAGUGUUUGAUCAUGUAGGAUGCUUGGUGAUUUAAUUAUGGUGAUAUAUUGAUGAAAUAUAAGCCGAAAACCAAAGGAAAACAAUACCAAAAGGCAAGGGAUGGAAAGAGAAACAUUUAGAAAAAUAUAGGUGUCAAGAGGCAAUUUCUAGUGAGCCUACGCAUUUGGGCCUCGACUGUAACGCCCCAAUUUUCUAAAUUGAAAUGCUACACAGUGCCCAUGACCCUGAAGGACCACAAGCUAACCCAUGACUUAUAUCUGUAACUGAGCACUGAAUAACUAUACUAUAAAAUAUGCGGAAACAUAAUACUGUAAGGCCAUAAGGUUCAAAUCUGAAUAAACAUUUGAUAAAAUAAUAUCUGAAAAUGGUAUAACAAUACCAACAUAAAUCUGAAAUAAUUGUAUGAUAUGCUGUAGUCUGAAAACCUCUAAACUGAACUGAAUAAGGAGUUGAGGAGACAUAUUCCCAACUAACUCCGUCUACUGAAAUAAACUGAAAAAUUGAAAUAGUGAUAUGAAUAAUAACAUAAUUGUCCUCAAAGGAUGAGAACUCACUGUUAAUUACUGCUGCUAGCUGACUUUGAAAUUGCUAAGGGAGCUAUGGAUCCCGUGCGUCCAAACCUAUGGUAUAAGACACUAUAGCGCGAGAAAAAUAUGCGUCAAUACUUUGAAUGUACUGGUAUGCAAGUGAGGUAGGCUGAAUGCAUGGGUUUCAUAUGUAUGAACAAUACUGACUAACAUAAACGUGAGAAUAUAUGGUACUAGUACUGGAUACUGAAUUCUGUGUACUGAUUUACUGACAUCUGAGUUUACUGAAUAAAGGGGAACUGAUGUUUAUUACUGAUAAAGAAAAUAAUUGUUUUUGAUAGUUCUGAUUAUGAAAAACUGAUCUAAUUGAUCGUAUAUAACAGUCCUGAAACUGAGUUCGUGAUAACAUGACUACUGAGUAUGAAUACUGAUGACAUGUAUUUACUGAUAACAUAUCAUGACUGAUAACUGAAUUCUAAUAACUAAUAUAUCUGAUAACAUGAGUUCUGAUAACUGAUAGCAUGAAUGACUGUAUCUGACAGUCCUGAAUCUGAUGGAACUAGCUGAGUUCCGUACUGUAUCUGAGUUAACUGUAUCUGACAGUCCUGAUAUCCUGAAGAACUAUCUGAGUUCUUUUACUGAGACUAAUACUAAAGAUGUGGGAAUUAGUUAUUUAACUGACAUGCCCCAAAUACACUAUAAUAGCUAAGAUGGGGUCCAAUCUCUAUCCUAAUUGGAAGGGUGUCAAUACCGCGCCACUGGUAAAGACAAGUUGUGAGUGACCCUCAUCUGGCAGGUACUCUAAUAAGAACGGUGGGAACCCUCAUCUGACAGGUUAGGCCACCUCAUCUACCCUCAACUGACAGGUAUUGAUGUCUCAACCUAUGCUGGCUACAUAGUUCUGGAACGCAAGGACUGCUUCUAAGAAUCACACCCUCUACUGACAGGUGAGUUCCCAUCCUUGGGUUCAUUUGGUGCUGAAUCCUACUCCCAACUGAAUGACACUGAACUGAUUAUAGUGAACUGAUUUCCUAGUUCAUACUAGAAUUAACUGAGCUGUUACUGAUUGCUCUGUUUAACUGAACUAAAAUGGACUGAGUUUAUUAAGUUCCGAUGACUUGCGAAACACUACUGAAUUCUGUUAACUGACUAAAUGCUACUGAGUUCUGUUUGCUGACUGAUUUUACUGAUGUUUGAACUAAAUACUGAACUAAACUGUACUGAUACUGAGAUUUACUGAAUUUCAUAGAUUGAUGAAAUAUUACUGAGAUUAUGUAGAUUACUGAGUACUGAGUAAAACUUACCUGAUACUGCCUUUACAUGAGUUUUACUGAGUCAUGAGACUGACUAAGUCUACUGAACAUGGCUUGACUGAGAGUAUCGUGAAAACAUGACAUGGCUCUAGGCACCCAACUAUAUUUUUCAGGUACAAGUACCCCCAGGACUCGAUAGAAGGAAAGUGACACAUCAUGAAAAUUCUUGAUCAUAGGACUAUAGUCCGCAAUUCAUAAUACCAUAAGUUGGGGAUUUCAUGAAAGCACUUGAUAAUCAUAAUCUUGUACAUAAAUAGGAAUGUAUCCUAACAUAUCAUAAUUUCACAAUUUUAAUUUCACUUGCAUGACAUGAACUUGUAUACAUGCUAACAUAAUGUAGUUUCAUUACUUAACUUUCAUGAACUAUUUGUCAAACACUUCCAAGACAUAGCAUCAACAUGGAAAUCAUUUAGAUCAUGUAGUAUUAACAUGAAUUCAUUAUUUAGAUCACCAAUGGAUCACAAGGCACAAUCCAUUCACUUGAACAUUUUCACAAACACAUGAAAUACAUGAUUUUAUACUUAGGCAUAUAUAACAUGCUCCCAAUUCAUUACCAUAACCACCAAUUCACAUCUCAAGGUUUUCAACAUAUGAUGGUCAUGAUUCAACACAUAUGGGAAACAUGAAUAUUUUAUUCAUCAAUUAACAUAUAUCAAUAUUAUGGGUAUAACAUCCAACUUGCAAAUCUCAAGAACUCAACAUAAAUUUCAUAUGAAUAAUACCACAAAUAAAUUAGUUUUCAUGAUUCUUGAAAUAACUCAUAGAAUUAAAACUCAAUUUAACAUCAACAACAUGAUUAUAAACAUCCCACAACAAAAUAUUCAUGAUACAUAACUUAAAACUUGAUUCUUGAGCUCCAUGGAUGAAAUGAAUCCAUGAAUGAAUACUAUGCAUACCUUAGAUUGAUUAUCUGUGAAAGUUAACGGUGAAAUUGGCUUGAGCCUAAGAUUCAAUAGUGUCCUUGGAAGUUUGAAAGCGGCAUCCAAUAGAGUCUUGUACAUGGGUGUGUUGUGCACCACACUUAUGUGCAGGAGGCUAUGAGGUGUUUUAGAAAUAGUUUCCCUUAUUCCAUGUCUCAGAUCGUGCUAUAGAAAAGUUUUGUAAGAAAACUCAUGUAGAUUCUCAUCAUGCUACACGCAUGUUAACUCUAUCUUACUUUUAAGGUAAAAGAAUCAGUGAAGCUCAAAGUUCUAGAGAUAAAGUUUUCUUAACUAGUUCCAGCAUACAGUUAUGGGGUUUCCCCAUAUUAAUCCUGCUCUGUUCCAAGUCGUACAUAUUUUAUUCAGGGCCAUGAGAACUCGUUCACUAACCCAAUUUUAAAUAUGCCAUAAGAUCUCUUCUCAUAAUUCUAUGAUAGCAUAGACCUAGAAUUUUUAAGCAUGAACUCAGGAGUUAACAGUGGUAGAGUUGGGAUAGUAUUAUCCAGUUUGAUCAGAUUAUGUAUUCAUGGGGAUAGUUGUACCAUAGUAAAUCAGUAGGCUUGAACAGUGUAAGCUAGAAUUUAAGUUUAUUGAUUUGAAUUGAGUCAAAUUAAUCAUGAAGCAAUGGAUAUGAUAUUAACAGUGUAUGAGGAAACAACAACAAGCAAUGGGUUUAGUAAGGCAAGCAUAUGUUGAACAGAGCGUAAGUAUGUGGUUAUGAUUACAGUUCAGUUCAGAGUUUAGUAAAGUAUUCGCAGACUUAAGAUGAUGGCUUAAAGCUAAGGGGGGUAUGAUAGAUCAAGUACCCGAGUCAGGCUUUCAAACUCUAGCAGUAGUGCUAGUAUGUAUAGAAGAAGCAAUAAGGGAAGACAAUUUCCAACCCAUCCUCAUCUCAGUGCAAAGUUCUGUACUUCAGUCAGCAUGAUGCCUAUGCAUGUUUCACAUCUCAGUUUCAUGAACACAGCUUCUAUUCGUAUGUUUUUCAUAAAUCGUGUGCCAUCCCAGUUUCUAUUAUACGGAUUUCCAUCUCCCUCAGUGUUACAGAUCAUGCCCUACGAAUUUAAAAAUUGCAGACUCAGGUCAUGCAGCUCAUAACUCAUGUACACAUGUCACACUUUAUAGUAUACUCAGUUUCCAUGACUCAUUCCAUGCCCCUACAGAUCAGAUAAGUUUAUACCACAUCAUGUAUAUCCUCAUUUCAAAUCUUUUUGGUAAAUCUAUGCUGUUGAUAUUCUAUUCCUUAAAGUUUUAGUCAUAUGUUAAGUUCAGUUUGUAUCCAUUCAUGCUAUAGAUCUUCCUGAUUUAACCUUUCAGUAAGCUUUCUUUGUGAAAUAGUGUAGUUAUGAGCAUUUGCUUAGUGGGAGAGAAUAAAUGUUUCAUGUUAAGAAAAGGUUGUUGCAUGCUUGUUUUACAUGAGGGUGUAGUUAUGAAGAUAGGCUUGAAUGUCAUGUUAGUAUGUAGUACUUAGAAAUUUGUAAGUUUAGAGUGUGAGAGUGCAUUCAAAUCCUUGACUUAUGUCAGCCUUUAUUAUGCGACUAUCAUAACCCAGUUGUCAUCCCAGUUACAAUUUUAGUACUCGGUGAUUAGUGUUCAGUCUCAGAAUUAAACUCUUCAGUAUCAGUCUAAACCUCAUUUUUAGUAUUCAGUUAUCAAGACCCUUCAGUUAAUUCCAGUAUUAGUCCCAGUUAUAGUGUCAGCUUCAGAUCAUUAUUCAGUUCAGACACACAGUUCAGUUUUAGACCUGCUUGACCAUAGCGUACAGUUAUCAGUUACUCAGUUAUAGAUAUUUCAGUAUCUCAUCCUAUGGAAUGUGUUAAAAUCAUGUAAUACGCUUGGUCCUACAUUUUUAAACAAUAUAGCUUUCAUGAAAUCCAUGCUCAGCUACCUCAUGUUACUCAGUCAGUCCUUUCUCGUAUGCAUAAUACUCUAUGGUCUCAGUCCAGCUAUUCAGACUAAGUACAAUUCAGUCUUGCAUACCCAAUAUUCAGUUACCAGUUAUUCAGUUAAUCAGAUAAGUUAGUAAAUUUAUGCACUUGUAAUCAGCUAAGUUCAUGCAUUAUGUCUCAGUUUCAGAUCCCAGCUAUUAAGUCACAAUUCAGUUCAUAAGUGCCUUGCACACCGCCUUAGUUUUGCUUAGUAUCUCAGCUAAGUCAGUAUUCUUCGAGGGACCUAAAGUCCCAAGGGGGAGAUACCCUAUAUCCCCCGACCUUAUGUGAUUUAAACAUGCCACUUUCUUUUCUCUAGAUGAAUCCAGCUAGAGGAGGGGUUACUUAUAAGCUGACCCUCUAGCUAUAAAUUUUAGUCGUAAUCCAUGUUCUUAAUGGCUCAGUUUAUCCCACUAUACUCUGUCUAUGUCAUGCAUUAUAGACUCAGUUCAACUCAUGUAUCAUGUUCCAAACUAAGUUAUGUUCUCAUAGUUCCGCUCAUGCAUAUUGAGCGAUUAAUCUCAGACUCAUCAGUAUUUUCAGUUCAACGUAACAGUCUUCCUUAAACUUACUCAUUCUCAUGUUCAGAUUUCAGUACCAAACUUGGUAUUUAGUUUCAUGCCCAGUUUUUAGUUAAACUUGGCAUCUUUUACUAUUGCAUAUUCAGUGGCAUGUUCACGAGCCAGUUCAAUCAUAUAAUCAUGCAUCAGAUAUGCAUGAAUUCAGCUUAUCAGUUAUGCACCAGAUAUGUAUUCUCAUUUUGAGAAACUCAGUUCAUCAGAACACUUAGUCCUUCAUUCAUAAAUCAGUUACACAUGCAUCAGAUAUGUAUGUUAGUUUGAUACAAAUUCAGUUUAUCAGUCAUGUAAAUCAUGAAAUCAUGUUUCAGUCAUUCAUAUUCAGUAUAUGCCUCAGUUGGUCUCUUCUCCCCUUCUUAGUAAGUCUCAUUCAAGGACGAAAGUUCCCAAGGGGGAGAUAUUGUAAGACCCCGUAAAAUUCCUAAGUCAAAUUCAGCUCCUUAAGGCUUGAUAAGGAAAUCCAACACUUAGAAGAAUUUUGCUAAGUUUUAGAAACACUUAGUUUCAUCUUAUACCUCCAAACUUUGGAGAUUUAUUUGACGACCUUUCUGACCUCCAUUUUUUUAUUUUCAAGUUGCGUUGUGAUCGGGGAAGUCAAGAGUACAUAUCGAGUUAGUUUUGGAAUUUUUGGAAUCCGUUUAGGGUAUGUUUGGAUUUCAAAACAGAAGCACCAUGCGAUUUGCAUGCGUCACAUGCUCUAUAGCAUGCCCCAGAAGUCUUUUCCACCUAUAUAUAUAUAUAUACAAAAACAUGAGAUUCAGCAUAAUUUAGCAGCAUAUGCUUAAUUUCUCUAAAAAUUUAUCAAGAACAAGUAAGGGUUCAAUUGGGGGUUUCAAGAUUCAAGCCAAUUUCACCGUUAACUUUCGCGGAUAAUCAAUCUAAGGUAUGCAUAGUGUUCAUUCAUGGAUUCUUUUCAUCCAUGGAGCUCAAGAAUCAAGUUUUAAGUUAUGUAUCAUGAAUAUUUUGUUGUGGGAUGUUUAUAAUCAUAUUGUUGAUGUUAAAUUGAGUUUUAAUUCCAUGAGUUAUUUCAAGAAUCAUGAAAACUAAUUUAUUUGUGGUAUUAUUCAUAUGAGAUUUAUGUUGAGUUCUUGGGAUUUGNNNNNNNNNNNNNNNNNNNNNNNNNNNNNNNNNNNNNNNNNNNNNNNNNNNNNNNNNNNNNNNNNNNNNNNNNNNNNNNNNNNNNNNNNNNNNNNNNNNNNNNNNNNNNNNNNNNNNNNNNNNNNNNNNNNNNNNNNNNNNNNNNNNNNNNNNNNNNNNNNNNNNNNNNNNNNNNNNNNNNNNNNNNNNNNNNNNNNNNNNNNNNNNNNNNNNNNNNNNNNNNNNNNNNNNNNNNNNNNNNNNNNNNNNNNNNNNNNNNNNNNNAUGUCAUGCAAGUGAAAUUAAAAUUGUGAAAUUAUGAUAUGUUAGGAUACAUUCCUAUUCAUGUACAAGAUUAUGAUUAUCAAGUGCUUUCAUGAAAUCCCCAACUUAUGGUAUUAUGAAUUGCGGACUUUAGUCCUAUGAUCAAGAAUUUUCAUGAUGUGUUAGUUUCCUUCCAUCGAGUCCUGGGGGUACUUGUACCUGAAAAAUAUAGUUGGGUGCCUAGAGCCAUGUCAUGUUUUCACGAUACUCUUAGUCAAGCCAUGUUCAGUAGACUUAGUCAGUCUCAUGACUCAGGAAAACUCAUGUAAAGGCAGUAUCAGUUUAGUUUUACUCAGUACUCAGUAAUCUAUGUAAUCUCAGUAAUAUUUCGUCAGUCUAUGAAAUUUAGUAAAUCUCAGUAUCAGUACAGUUUAGUUCAGUAUUCAGUUCAGACAUUAGUAAACUCUGUCAGCUAACAGAACUCAAUAUCAUUUAGUCAAUUAACAGAAUUCAGUAUCCAGUACUAGUACCGUUUCAAUUAUAGUUAUUAUGUAUUCAUGCAUGUAUUCUUACGUUCAUGUAAGUCAGUAUUGUUCAUAUAUAUGAACCCCAUGCAUUCAGCCUACCUCACUCGCAUACCAGUACAUUCAAAGUACUGACGCAUACUUUUCUCGCACUAUGGUGUCUUAUACCAUAGGUUUGGACGCACGGGAUCCAUAGCUCCCUAAGCAAUUUCAAAGUCAGCCAACAGCAGUAAUUAACAGUGAGUCCUCAUCCUUCGAGGAUAAUUAUGUUAUUAUUCAUAUCACUAUUUCAGUUUUUAAUUUAUUUCAGUAGACGGAGUUAGUUGGGAACAUGUCCCCUCAACUCCUUAUUCAGUUCAGUUUAGAGGUUUUCAGACUACAACAUGUCAGAUAAUUAUUUCAGAUUUAUGUUGGUAUUAUUAUACCAUUUUUAGAUAUUAUUUUAUCAGAUAUUUAUUCAGAUUUGAACCUUAUGGCCUUACAGUAUUAUGUUUCCUUAUAUUUUACAGUAUGGUUAUUCAGUGCUCAGGUACAGAUAUAAGUCAUGGGUUAGCUUGUGGUCCUUCGGGGUCAUAGGCACCAUGUAGCGUUCUAGUUCAGAAAAUUAGGGCGUUACAGCGACACACCACUCCCUCCACGAGAUAUACAACUCCCCACGCUACUCUAUCCAUGAGAUAUCCAAGGCAUCGUGUGGCUUAUCCCAUAGACAUCCACCAAUGCGACGAAGACCAUUUCCCACACAUGGCUAAUUGGUCUCUUAUAAAUAGGACUUGUUUCACUUAUUCUAAUGAUUUUUGGACGUAUUUAGGAGCUUGAAGAGGCUGUUGCACACGAUUUUUGAGGGUUCAUAUUCUUUAACUAAUAUUUUUAAUGGAUUUAAUCAUGUAUUCAAAUUUUUGGAUUACAAUUAUGUCUAUUAGUGGCUAAAUGUCCCCUUUUUGGGGUUAAGGCCAAGAACAUGUUUGCUAUCGUUAUGAAUUGAGUUUAUUUGGAUUGAUUAUCAUAUUUGAAUGUUUUUUCAUCCUUAUUUUAACUAUUUUAAGGAUUCGCGACCAUUAGAAUAUAUCUAUUGUCGACCUUGUGAUCUCAAGAGGGAAAAUUGGAAGAUAGAACAUGGAGAUGAAUAAAGUAAGGUUUUUAUUCUUUUAUAAAAUAAGGAAUUUGAAUUAGCAUCUAGGAAAGGGAUGGACCUAGAAGCCUUUCUUAGUUCACAUGUAGGAUGGUAGCUUUAAUUACUUAAUUAGAUUAUAACAUCCCCGCUCAACGAUGUAGUUGUAAUGUCCAGUUAGGUAGACGAUUAGAGGUUGGAAGAACAUAAUCAUGCGAUAAACCUUACGAAUCAAUAACCAAGAUAAUCAAUCUAAUGAAUGAAGUUCAAUUUAACGAAUGAAGUUCAAGAUAAGCAACCUUAUGAAUCAAUAAAGUGCCUUAACCCUGGGCUUUCCUCCAUUGAUUGUCUCAAGCCUUUACUUUAUGCACUAUUUAUUUUAAUUUUAGUUUAUCAAUUUCAAAACUCUUUUGAUUACUCUUGCAGUAAGUUAAUUUUAAUAGUGAACUAGAAUUUGAUAGUUGCAUAACACUAGUCCCUGUGGGAUCGAUACUUGGCUUGUGAAAAGGCCACUAUAUUACUUGGUAAGCCACGUACACUUGUGUGUGCGCUUGGACGCAACAUAAACCUCUCAGGAACAAAUCAAUCACAUCUUGAGCAGUGUAGGGAUGUUUAAGUGCUAGAAAAUAUGCGUACUUGGUUAGUCGAUAAACUAAAACCAAGACAACAUUUUUAUGACCUGAAACUAAAAGACCUUCUAUAAAGUCCAUGGCUAUGCUAUGCAAAGGAAGCUCAGGGAUGGGUAAGGGUUGAAGAAGACCGGGGGUGAUGACAUUUUCUGUUUUGGUCUUCUAAUAGGUAUCACAUUUGGAGACCCACUGAAUAAUAUCAGCCAUCAUAUUAGGCCAAUAGAACACCCGCUUGACCUUUUGAUAAGUCUCUUGUUGACCAGAAUGUCCUCCUAUGGGGGAGAUAUAAGGCCUGGAAAAUGUUAAGCCUCAAAUUAGUGCCCUUACCUAUAUAGAUUUUAUGGUCAUACCAGAUAACUCCUUGAGAUAAUAAAUAGUAAGGCUUGGAUCCAGGUAGAGUAAUAAGUUCUGUCAAUAAUUGAGUUGCAACAGGAUCAAGGUCGUAGCUCAAACUCACUUUCUGCAUCCAUGUAGGUUCAACCAAAGAAAUAGCAUAACAUUCAACAGCUUCCUCUCUUUUUCUAGAUAGGGCAGCUGCAACUUUGUUCUCAGUGCCCUUUUUAUACUACACCUCAUAGUCUAAUCCAAAGAGCUUGGUUAAUCCUUUUUGCAAUAGUAUAGUAUGCACCCUUUGCUCUAGAAAAUAUUUCAGGCUAUGGUGGUCAAUUUUUAUGAUGAAGUGAGCCGCUUGGUGGUAAUGUCUCCGUCUGCCAAUAGCCGAUAAAACAUCCAGGAAUUCCUUCUCGUAAGUAGAUAGUCAUAAGUGUUUAGGAGACAAGGCCUUGCUAAAAAAAAAAGAUAAAGGCCUGUUGUCUUGCAUAAGAACAACUCCUAUACCUGUAGAACAUACAUCAGUCUCUACCAUAAAUACCUUGGAAAAAUUGGUUAAAGCUAUAACUGGAGCAGAUAUCAUAGCUUACUUCAGAAGUAGAAAAGCAGUGUCAGCUGAUGUAUCCCAAUGAAAGGCAUUCUUUUUCAGCAAAUUGGUGAGUGGUCUACUGGUUGUUUCAUAAGAUCUAAUAAGCCUCCUAUAGUAACCUCUUAGGCCUAUGAAACCCCUCAAUGCCAACUUGCCAUAACUUCUACCUUAGCAGGGUUAGUAGCCUCCCCUUCUUGUGUGAUAAUGUGACCCAAAUACUCAAUCUUAUCUUGAGCAAAGAACACUUGGAUAGCUUAGCAAACAAUUGUUCUUUCCUCAAGAUUGCAAGUACCUUAUUAAGAUGAAGGACGUAGUCUUGAAGUGAUGCACUAUAGAUUAGUAUAUCGUAAAAGAACACAAGAACAAAUUUCCUUAAGUAGGGGUUGGACGCCUGAUCCAUAAGGGACUGAAAAGUGGCAGGAGCAUUAGUUAAGCCAAAGGGCAGGACCUUGAAUUCGUAGUGCGCUUGAUGUGUUCUAAAUGCAUUUUUAGGAAUGUCCUCAAUACACAUCCUAAUUUGAUUAUAACAAGACUUUAAGUCAAUUUUGGAGUAAAUGCAAGACUCAUUCAGUUCAACCAUCAAAUCAUCCACCAAAGGAAUGGGAAACUUAUCUUUGAUGGUCAUGUUGUUCAAGUUCUAUAGUCUAUGCAAAAUCUCCAACUCUCAUUAUUUUUCUUCACAAGUAACACCGAGGAAGAGAAAAUAGAAUGGUUGGGCUGAAUUAUACCACUAUUAAGCAUUUUACUAACUUGUUUUUCAAUUUCAUUUUUCUGAAAGAAGUUGUAUCUGUAAGGUCUGAUACUAAUAGGAAUUGAAUUUGGUUUUAGGGUAAUGUGGUGAUCAUGGCUUCUAGAAGGUGGCAGUGUCGUGGGCUCAACAAACAUAUUAGGAAAUUCUUGUAACACAAGGCUGACUUCUACAGGUAUUGCAUUUUCUUUUCCAACCUCUAUAGCUGAUAAGGUAAAAAGGUGGGCCCAAACAGUUUGUCCUUUCUUCAGUAACUGUUUGACCCCUUUAACAAACAUACUCUUCAACUCUCCUUGAUGGUAGAUCCCUCUCAAUUCUACCCUCUUACCUAAAUGAGUAACCUGAAUUUUGUAGUCCACAAUAUCCAACAGAACUGGAUUGUGCACCUUCAUCUAAUCACCUCCAAAUACCAUAUUAUUACCACCCAACCUCAGGAGUCUUAUGGACUCUUCAAACUCCACUACAUGAAUUUUCCACUUAAACUUGUGGCAAGUGUGCUAACUCAAGAUGUGAUUUCCAUUAGCUACUAUGACUCUCAUAGGAAUAACUCAAGUAAUAGGACAAUCAUUUUUUUUGCAAUUUCCAGAUCCAAAAAAACUAUGUGUACUACCCGAGUCAACCAAAAUGGUUAGACUGUUCUUCUUAGAUUCCCUUCCCCUUUUAAUCUGAUGGUGUUAAACAUCUCUACACCAUACAAGGCAUUCAAACUUAUGGCUUCAUCCAUAAUUUCCCCUUCUUGCAAUUGAUUUUCCUCUAAUGUCACAUAUUAAAUCUCUUCUUCUUCAGGUAAGUUAGUAGCAGCAGUCAUGGUAUUAAGUUGCUUGGGCUUGCAUUAAUGGCCAACAAAACAUUUCUCUCUACAUCUAUAGCAUAAGACUUAUGCUUUUUGAAGCUCAAAUAGUUUGUUGCUCUGAGUAGUCCCAUUAGCUCUUUCCCCUUUAUUAGUCUGAACUAGGUUGGAAUUUGGAAUUUGGGGGGAAUUGGUUUUCCAUGUUCCCCUUCCCCAACCAUUCUUAUUCUUCUUGAUCAAGGACUCUACCACCUUCUCUUAAUGUCUAGCUUUUUCUACUGCUUGACUCAAGGUAUAUGGGUUCAGCAUCUUGACAGUGUGCCUUAUUUCUUUCUUGAGCCCUUCCAUAAAGAACUUUACAAAAAAUUCCUCAGGGAUAGUAGGGCUUCAAAUCAAAACCUAGGCCUUCAAGUCCUCAAAGCGUUCCAAAUACUCGUUGACAGUCCUAGUUUGUGAAAUUUUCUUGAAUUCCCCAAUUAAAUUGAACUUACUAUUCUCAACAUCUUAGAACCUUUUGCACAAUUCCUCGGAGAACUCUUGCCAAGUGACUCCACCUCUACUCAACUGAUACGAGAAGUACCACGACUCUGCCCUCCCUGUCAAAUGUAGGACUGCUUUAUCUAAUUUUGUAUUGGAUUUGUGAUAUGAUUAUAAUCAUAAUAACUCUCACAUCUAUAUAGCCAUGAACAGGGAUCAUCUACAGAGGUGCCAUCAAAAUAGGGAAACUCGAUUUUGGAGCUGUAAUGAUGAUGUUUGGGUCUCUCCAUCGUCAUAUUUGGGGACAUAUGAUCACCCCAUUUUCUACAACUAGGCGCAUCUACAGCUGAUGGGUGCACUACUGGUGUACUACCCAACACUCUAGGUUGGGUUGGAAGCAUCUUCUCUAACAACACAUCAAAUUUCUUAGUUAGAUCAUCCAGUUUCGCAUCUGUAACCGCUGAUUUUUUAGUUGAUUCUGCCAUGAAUCCUUCUAAUUGAGACUCUAUUUUUCUGCAUUUUCCUCCGUGGGUUUGGCCUUAGUUUCUGUAACCAUCAUUAUUGUGUUUGUGUUGUACCCUCAGGUGCAAAUAGUGGCUCUGAUACCAAUUGUUAUGUCCCUUAAAUCGUAAUUGAAUCGUGAGAGAGAAAUCGAAGAUUCAAUCAAACAGAAUUGGAAUUUUAUUGAUAAUAGUUCAGUACAAUUAUUACAAUAGUAUCUACUACUACAAGAUUACUGCGAAACAAACUCCAUUGAUAAGAUUCCAGCUUUGUAACCUGUGAUAGUGCGUUAAUAAUGAGAAGGAAUUACUCGAGGAAUAAGGAAAAGAGAAAAAGAAAAAGAGAAACAAAAUAACUACCAGUCCAAAUCUGCAUAGGCUCAACUCCACUUGUGUUGAUAUAACCGCUUGGACCUGAUCUAGCUGUCACCCAUCAUCUGGCCGUUCAUCAUUUUAAUGAAGGAUCCAUCUCGUUCGUUUAUUUCGUCUCAUCCCAUAGCUGCCACACGGAUACACGACCUAAGCUUUGCCACCUAAUCACUUAACAUAUAAUCCUACGCUACUUUCUAAAUUCACACUUUAGGAUCUAACAUAGAUAUAUCUAAAUCAACCAAUAAAUUACAAUAGAUGAUAUCUCAAUUCAGUCAAUAUGGCAAAUUCUUUUAUGCCAAAACAAAUCGACAUAUGCAGUAGUAUAUCAAAAUCUGAUCCAUCUUCUUACGCCCAUCCUUCAAUGUUUCAUCAUCAUCACCUUUUUUCAUUAUCUUGUACUUGAAAAGACUAUACACCAUGGUCAUUUAAAAGAAUAUAUUAUAAUCCUCCGUUAAAUCAAGAAAGUGUCCAUAAUAGUUGUACUUAAAGUAAUUCUUCAAUUUUUCAUCUCUCAAUGUCUUUCAAAAACCAUCACAAUAUUUAUUCAUGAUUGAUUUAACAACAAAAUUAUCAAUCAAAUAUGUAGGGUUAUCUAUAGACUUCUUCAAUCGAAACUUGUCAAUACUAAAAGUUUUGAUAAGAUUAUAUUGGACUUUUGAUCUACGUUCAUAAUUGUUCAACGAUGCCUCAACAUCAUCAUCAAUAUUAUCAUCAGCUCAUUCCCCUUCAUCCUCUCUUUCAUUUUCCUCUUCAUCAUUUUCCCCACUUUCAACAUCAUCUCCUUUCUCACUUUUCUUUUCAUCUUCUUCCCCCUCACCCCCUUUUAUCACUUUCUUCAUCAUCUCCAUCCUUACCAUUUCGAUCUUCUUCCUCAUUUUUAUUUUUAUCUUCCUCCUUUAGAUCGAUAGAUCUGUCUUCCUCAUUUUUAUUUUCAUCUUCCUCCUCUAGAUCGAUAGAUCUGUCAACUGAUGCUCUUUCAAUAUCUUCUUCAUUAUCUCUUGCCAUAUCUUCAUUCUUUUUCUAUGGUAACACUUUAUUUGCUUGUGAAAGGACUUGUUCUGCAAGUUCUUCUAAUGUUGUUUCUAAUUUAGCUAUAUUACUUAAUUUAUCAGAAGUUGAUCCACUUUUUUUUUUUUGGGAGCCAUUUUAUCUACAAAUAAGAGAAAAAUAAAAAAAUCAUAAUUGAUUUGUGCACCAUUAAAAAAAAGGUAACAAAUUUAAUAAAUAAAACACAAUAUAAUAAUAUUUUCAACAGAUGACUCAUCUGUUAGAAGAAGAAGAAUAAUAAACCAACAAAUGAUAUAGUUAUUUUCAAUAGAUGCUUAAUGUGUUCCGACAGAUUCUUAUUCUUUGCAACAUAUUACACAUCUGUUGGAUAACAUUUUUAUCAUGCACAUAUAUCAACAAAAAUACCACCACAAACAACAAGCUAUAUCGCACCACUACCAAAAACACCAAGCUAUAUCACCUCUUGAACAACACCAAUGUUUUUACCAAUACAUUAACAACAACAACGAUAAUACCAACACCAACAAAACCAAGAACACCAACAACACCAACAAAACUAAGAACACCAAGAAUAUACCUAGAACAUCAACAACACCAACAAAACAAACAAACUAUUCACCUACAACACCAACAAAUACCAAGUGAAGUGAUCAAUACAACAACACAAAUAACGAGACAAAAUUGUCAGAAUAGGUAUCUCCAAAAAAGUCAAAGUUCAAGUUUCACUAAUUUUACAACAAUACUCAAGAACAAGAACAACAACGCCAUGACCAACAAAACGAAGAACACCAAAAACACAAACAAUACCAACAAAACAAACAACGCCAAGAACACCAACAAAUAUCAAGUAACGUGAUUCAAUACAAUAACACAAACAACAAGACAAAAUUGUCACAACAGAUAUCUCCAAGAAAAGUCAAAAUUAAAGUUCACUAUUUUUACAACAAUGUUCAAAAAUAACAAGAACAACAACAAAAGAAAAUUACAUUUCACUCAGAAAAGAUAUCUCAUUUACGUCAACCAUCAUAUUAAGAGCACAAAUACCACAAAUUGGGAUUUUCUCGGGUUCGUUCUUUUUUUAGCAUCAAAUCUCAAAAUUAUUAGCCCAUACAUGAAGAGAAUACAACUAAAGUUCCCUUUUUCUUCCUUAACUAAAAAGCACAAAUUUUUUGAAAACCAACUAAAAGAGAAGUCUUAACCUGCGAAGAGAUAGAAAUUGACGGCUACAAGGAAAGAAGGAAUGAUGUAGAGGCCGAACUUGAGGUCAUCGGAGGUCGAAGUUCGUCGAUUUAUUGUCAAUGGAGAGCAGCUUUGUUGGGGUCGGUUUUGAGAGAGAGAGAGACAGAGAGAGAAGAGACGUUUGAGGAAAGUGAGAAGUUGAUUGAUUUUGAAAAAAUAAUUGAAAUGAAGUUUUUUUUACUAAAAAUUAAAUAGUUGUGGAUUUUUUGUACUUUUAAAAAGAUUAGAAGUUUUAAAAAUCAUAAUUGAAUUCUCAAUUAACUUAAUAAAAAAUUUAAGUGCCUUUGACCCUUGAUCAAAAUAGUCAUCAAUACUUCAAUGAAGAUUUAUUAUUCAAUUUUCUCGAGUAACUGUAACAUGUCAAGGUUGUCUGAUAGAGCGUAUACAAUAAGCAGUAUUUAUGCAUGCUUAUUCAUGUAUUAAUAGCCCUUGUAUUGCUAAUAUCACAGUUUACUAUGUAUUAGUUGUAUACCGUUAAACUAAUACAUGCAUCGACUGAAGUCCUAACAAAUAAAGGACUAAAUUAUCCCAUAACUAAUACAUCCCCCAAACUACACAUUGAUGAAAAUAUUACAGUUUGAAUUACAUGAACAUAUAUAGCUAAGCUGACCCUUCAUAACUUUAUCAGUUCAUCAAGAAAUAACAACACAUAAAAAUAUGCUUUAUUUUCCAUAUUCUACAAUACUAUGAAGAUAAUAAGAUCCUAAGUUGCGUGGAUUGUUCAGUUUCGAUGCUGCACCCGUGUUGGGUUCUCCAAAAAUGCACUACUUUUGGAUAAUUUGACACGCACUCGUUGACAAUUUUGAAGAGUCCGACCAACAUAGAUAAGAUCAUCAUUGUUCUGAACUUCUCACUGUGGUCCCUUGCAAAGGGAUAAAAUGCACCUAGCUACAUUCGACGAGAACUUGAUUAUCAGAUAUCCGAAAAGUAUCAUACGUCAAAUUUGAAUUUUUCAUUUGAACAAAAAAGGGACAUGCUGUUUCCAUAGAGCACAACCUGUGUUUCACGGAAUAGAACAUAGAAAGACAAUAGAACAAUAAAAGAGCAGAAAAGACACUGUUAAUCUCCACGGGUUUAAGCCAUACAAAUUAACCUUCUUUUCUAAUAUACGUCACAAUAGUAUUUUACCCAAAAAUCCGGAAAAAAAACUCUAAUUACCAUAUGAACUUCAGCUUCUGUCUUAUGAAAACCAACAUAUUGCAGAUCAUUGUUCAUUAACUUGAUAACACUGUUAGCCGGAAAAGUGAAAACCAACAUAUUGUAGAUCAUUGUUCAUUAACUUGAUAACACUGUUAGCAGGAAAAGUAGACUCCCUGGACCAGUUGGGUACUCAUAAUUCUAAGGUCAUGGGGUGCCAGAGGCGGAUCUAGUAUUUAUAUUUAACGAGGUAAGGAUUCUGGGUUUUGGACAGUGACCACAAGUUCAUAUGCAAUAAUAACUGACCAUAUAAUGAGUAUCAGUAUUCAAUAUAUCAUCAAGUUUAGCAUAGACAUAAUAGACAGGGUAUUUCUAACUAGUCGUGCGUUCUUUGAUUCAAUCUCCUUUUGUUCCUUAAUUUCUAGCUAGUCGUGCCUUCUCUGAUUCAAUCUCCUUCUGUUCCUUAAUCUUGACUAAUUCAAUUUGAUCCAAGGCAUAGCUAAGAAUUACGGGAUAGGACAUUAGUAUAUCUAAUAUCCUAUCCCAAUUUGAAGUUUUUUCCUAGAAGUUUCACAUUUAAAUAAGAAAAAGAAGAACGAUCAUAUAGGCCAUUUGGAACUUCUGGACUGAGAUCAUAAACUUUCAAUAUAUGCAGCAAAGUAUUUCUUUAAAGACAAAAGAACUUGUACCUGAAUCCAACUGCGACAUAAUUCUUCAGUAGUAUUUCUAGCAAAGCCACAUAUAUCAGCUCCAACCAUGGGAAUCCCAAACAAUCCAGAACUCAAAAUGCCGGGAAUACUAUAAGCCAAGUCAUCCCAUGUGGCUGCAUUAUCUCCUGUCCAAUGUGCUGUGUACUUGCCAGCACCCACAAAGGUAGAUCUGCUAAGAAUAAAUGGCCUUUUACCAGUAAUAUCGAUGAAAGCAGCAUUGGUCGUUUUAGCUUCCAGGAAUGAGUAGAGGUUGUGAACAUUGUACUCUAAGGCAUUCCCAAAAUGUACUGAUGUUGCUGGGACAGUCUUCUCGUUAAUUGGACAUAAGCUUCCAUUGUUAUUGAUCAUACAAGGAGGGUUGUCAAGGGUAGAAAAUGGGGUUGGAGGAGAAGAGAUGAAGUUAGAUAACUCGUUCAUGUCAAGCCAGAGCCCAUCAACAGGGAGAAGGUCAUGGAAAAUCUUGAUUUCAUUACUCCAGAAGACUCUGGCUCGGGGAUAUAUGAAAUCAGGAUAGUAAACUUUUCCUGGCCAAACUUCGCCACGAUAAGGGACACCAUCGUGUUUGAUAAAAACGUCAGCUUGCAUCCCUCUCUU
rnacentral:lncRNA from 1 species